ACUCAAGUUCGAUCAUCACCUGAGUUGAGUUAGCUUCAAUGGUGAACAUCUCUAUGUUGAUCAUAUCUACUAUAUGACUCAUGUUCGACCUUUCGGUCUCUUGUGUUCCGAGGCCAUGUCUGUACAUGCUAGGCUCGUCAAGUUUAACCCGAGUGUUCCGUGUUGCAAAACUGUCUUGCACCUAUUGUAUGUGAACGUAGAGUCUAUCACACCCGAUCAUCACGUGGUGUCUCGAAAUGAUGAACUGUCGCAAUGAUGCACACUCAGGGAGAACACAAUUUUAUCUUGAAAUUUAAGUGAGGGAUCACCUUACAAUGCUACCGUCGUCCUAAGCAAAAUAAGGUUCAUAAAAGGAUUAACAUCACAUGCAAAUCAUAAGUGACAUGAUAUGGCAAAAGAGUUUGGAAAAGUAGAUACGUUGGAGACGUAUCAACUCCCCCAAGCUUAAAACCUUGCUUGUCCUCAAGCAACUCAGUUGACAAACCCCGACUUGUGCUUCUUGAUCUCCAUCACCAAAGCACCGGCAUGAUCUCCAUCAUCAUGAUCUCCAUCAUUGUGAUGCCAUCGAGGUUGUUGCGCCAACUAUGUUGUUACUACUAAAGCAACUAAACUAGCAAUAAAUCAAAGCAUCACCAUGCACAACAUAAUUAAAAACAACCCUAUGGCUCCUGCCGGUUGCCGUAGCAUCGACGUGCAAGUCGAUAUUUAACUAUUACAACAUGAUCAUCUCAUGCAUCAAAUGUAUCAUAUCAUGUCUUUGGCCAUAUCAUAUAACAACAGACCCUGCAAAAACAAGUUAGACAUCCUCUAAUUUGUUGUUGCUUGUUUUAUGUGGGUGCUAUGGGUAUCUACUCCUCCUUCCCUUCCUUUUAAAGGUCUUUUACCUUUUAUCUCUUCUCCUAGCUGCAUGGGCCUUUGAGAGAGGCUUCGGCCAGCCAACCAGGGGCUGGUCCACCUCUUCUCACGGCCCACAAGCCUCUUGGGUCGUCACACCCCUCCCGGUGGUCCCCCGAUACCCUCCCGGCACUCCCGGUACACUACCGAUGAGCCCGAAACUUUUCCGGUAACAAAAAUAGGACUUCCUAUAUAUCAAUCUUUAUCUCCAGGCCAUUCCGGAGCUCCUCGUGAUGUCCGGGAUCUCAUCCGGGACUCCAAACAACCUUCAGUCACCAACACCUAUAACUCAACUAUACCGAAACGCCACCGAACCUUUAGUGUGCAGAUCCUGUGGGUUCGAAAACUAUGCAUACAUGACCGAGACACUCUCCGGUCAAUAUCCAAUAGUGGGACAUGGACUUCCAUAUUGGAUCCUACAUAUUCUCCGAAGAUCUUAUCGGUUGAACCUCUAUGUCAAGGAUUCACACAAUCUCGUAUAUCAUUCCCUUUGUCCUUCGGUAUGUUACUUGCCCGAGAUUCGAGCUACUUGAACGUUGAGCAUCAAGAUCUAUAGAGAUAGAUCAAAAUGCUUAAUAGAACUUUCAAUGAAAUACAUGCCUUGACAAGUUUUUGAAGGAGUUCAAAAUAGAUCAGCAAAGAAAGAGUUCUUGGCUAUGUUGUACGGUGUGAAUUUGAGUAAAGACUCAAAGCCCGACCACGGCAGAAGAAAGAGAAAGGAUGAAGGUCGUCUCCUAUGCCUUCGCCAUAGACUCUAAAGUAUGCCAUGCUGUGUGUUGCACCUGAUGUGUGCCUUGCCACAAGUCUGUUAAGAGGUACAGAGAGUGAUACAGGAUUGAAUCACUGAAUAGCGGUCAAAGUUAUCCUUGGUAACUAACAGACUAAGAAAUUUUUCUCGAUUAUGGAGGUGGUUAAAGAGUUCAUCGUAAAGGGUUACGUCGAUGCAAGCUUUGACACUAAUCCGAAUAACUAUGAGUAGUAAAACGAUUGGUAUAGUAGAGUAGAUAUUUGGAGUAUUUCCGAAUAACACGUAGUAGCAGCAUCUAUAAGAUGACAUAAAUAUUUGUAAAGCACACACGGAUCUUAAAGAUUCAGAACCGUUCACUAAAACCUCUCUCAAGAGAAAGACGUGAUCAAACCCUAGAACUAUAUGGGUGUUGGAUUCGUUAAAAUCACAUGGUGAUGUGAACUAGAUUAUUGACUCUAGUGCAAGUGGGAGACUGUUGGAAAUAUGCCCUAGAGGCAAUAAUAAAUUUGUUAUUAUUAUAUUUCUUUGUUCGUGAUAAUCGUUUAUUAUCCAUGCUAUAAUUGUAUUCAUUGGAAACUCAAAUACAUGUGUGGAUACAUAGACAAAACACUGUAACUGGUAAGCCUCUAGUUGACUAGCUCGUUGAUCAAAGAUGGUCAAGGUUUCCUAACCAUAGACAAGUGUUGUCAAUUGAUAACGGGAUCACAUCAUUAGGAGAAUCAUGUGAUGGACAAGACCCAAACUACGAACGUAGCAUAUUGAUCGUGUCGUUUUAUUGCUAUUGUUUUCAGCGUGUCAAGUAUUUGUUCCUAUGACCAUGAGAUCAUAUAACUCACUGACAUCGGAGGCAUACCUUGUGUGAAUCAAACAUCGCAACGUAACUGGGUGACUAUAAAGGUGCACUACAAGUAUCUCCGAAGGUGUCAGCUGAGUAUGGAUCAAGACUGGGAUUUGUCACUCCGUGUGACGGAGAGGUAUCUCGGGGCCCACUCGGUAAUACAACAUCACACACAAGCCUUGCAAGCAAUGUGACUAAGUGUAAUUCACGGGAUCUUGUAUUACGGAAUGUGUAAAGAGACUUGCCGGUAACGAGAUUGAAAUAGGUAUGCAGAUACCGACGAUCGAAUCUCGGGCAAGUAACAUACCUAAGGACAAAGGGAAUGACAUACGGGAUUAUAUGAAUCCUUGACACUGAGGUUCAACCGAUAAGACUUCGGAGAAUAUGUAGGAUCCAAUAUGGGCAUCCAGGUCCUGCUAUUGGAUAUUGACCGAGGAGUGCCUCGGGGCAUGUCUACAUAGUUCUCGAACCCGCAGGGUCUGCACACUUAAGGUUCGAAGUUGUUUUAUGCGUAUUUGAGUUAUAUGGUUGGUUACCGAAUGUUGUUCGGAGUCCCGGAUGAGAUCACGGACGUCACGAGGGUUUCCGGAAUGGUCCGGAAACGAAGAUUGAUAUAUAGGAUGACCUCAUUUGAUUACCGGAAGGUUUUCGGAGUUACCGGGAAUGUAGCGGGAAUGACGAAUGGGUUCCGGGAGUUCACCGGGGGGGCAACCCACCCCGGGGAAGCCCAUAGGCAUUGAGGGUGGUGCACCAGCCCUUAGUGGGCUGGUGGGACAGCCCAAAAGAGCCCUAUGCACAUUGGAAGAAAAAUCAAAGAGAAAAAAAAGGAGGAGAUGGGAAAGGGAAGAAGGACUCCACCUUCCAAGCCAAGUAGGACUCGGUUUUGGGGGUUAGACCUUCCCCCUUGGCUCGGCCGAAGCCCUUAGGGGUCCUUGGACCCCAAGGCAAGGCUCCCCCUCUUCCCCCUAUAUAUANNNNNNNNNNNNNNNNNNNNNNNNNNNNNNNNNNNNNNNNNNNNNNNNNNNNNNNNNNNNNNNNNNNNNNNNNNNNNNNNNNNNNNNNNNNNNNNNNNNNNNNNNNNNNNNNNNNNNNNNNNNNNNNNNNNNNNNNNNNNNNNNNNNNNNNNNNNNNNNNNNNNNNNNNNNNNNNNNNNNNNNNNNNNNNNNNNNNNNNNNNNNNNNNNNNNNNNNNNNNNNNNNNNNNNNNNNNNNNNNNNNNNNNNNNNNNNNNNNNNNNNNNNNNNNNNNNNNNNNNNNNNNNNNNNNNNNNNNNNNNNNNNNNNNNNNNNNNNNNNNNNNNNNNNNNNNNNNNNNNNNNNNNNNNNNNNNNNNNNNNNNNNNNNNNNNNNNNNNNNNNNNNNNNNNNNNNNNNNNNNNNNNNNNNNNNNNNNNNNNNNNNNNNNNNNNNNNNNNNNNNNNNNNNNNNNNNNNNNNNNNNNNNNNNNNNNNNNNNNNNNNNNNNNNACUCGUACGCUUACGAGAGACUGGUUUCAUCGCUACGAGUAACUCUGUUGCUCAAAGAUGACUGGCGGGUGUUAGUUUCUCCAACUUUAGUUGAAUCAGAUUUGACCGAGGAGGUCCUUGGAUGAGGUUAAAUAGCAACUCAUAUAUCUCCGUUGUGGUGUUUGCGUAAGUAAGAUGCGAUCCUACUAGAUACCCAUGGUCACCACGUAAAACAUGCAACAACAAAAUUAGAGGACGUCUAACUUGUUUUUGCAGGGUAUGCUUGUGAUGUGAUAUGGCCAACGAUGUGAUGUGAUAUAUUGGAUGUAUGAGAUGAUCAUGUUGUAAUAGUUAAUAUCGACUUGCACGUCGAUGCUACGGCAACCGGCAGGAGCCAUAGGGUUGUCUUUAAACUAACGUUUUUGUUUGCAGAUGCAUUUACUAUAUUGCUAGGAUGUAGAUUUAGUAGUAAUGGCAUGAGUAGCACGACAACCUCGAUGGCGACACGUUGAUGGAGAUCAUGAUGAUGGAUAUCAUGGUGUGGCGCCGGUGACAAGAAGAUCGUGCCGGUGCUUUAGUGAUGGAGAUCAAGAAGCACAAGAUGAUGGCCAUAUCAUGUCAUUUAUGAAUUGCAUGUGAUGUUAAUCCUUUUAUGCACCUUAUUUUGCUUAGAACGACGGUAGCAUUAUGAGGUGAUCUCUCACGAAAAUUUCAAGACGAAAUUGUGUUCUCCCCGACUGUGCACCGUUGCUCUAGNNNNNNNNNNNNNNNNNNNNNNNNNNNNNNNNNNNNNNNNNNNNNNNNNNNNNNNNNNNNNNNNNNNNNNNNNNNNNNNNNNNNNNNNNNNNNNNNNNNNUUAGGCCCCAGAUUGUCCUGAAUUCAUUCAUGUCAAUAAACUCCCAUCAACUUGGCGCGACUCUCCCAAUUUCUAACCUUCGGCGAAUGUUAAGUCGCCAUCCAUUGUACCUGAUCUGAGUCGCCAUGUAUUAUUGAAUGGCAUCACCUCGUCCCCAUAGUUCCAGGGCUCCUAACACCGCAACCGUCAACGGAUCUUUUGUUCAUAAUCACUUAUCCCGAAAAUCUAGGCGCCAUAAUCUCAAUCUCUGACUUGUCGCCUCGAUCUCCGCCUCGACAGUCUCAAUUUCCAUUCCUGCCCUUUAAAUAACAAGGGAAAUGGGAGGGGAGGAAAUCCUGUCACCAACCUCCAUCUCUUCCUCGUCUUCCUCGCGCACUUCAUCUCCGAGCACUAGCGCCCCGGCGUCGUCUCCGGCUCCUGGAGCUUCUCCAUCGACCGUGAUCUUCCGAGCGUCAAUGAACACAAAGUUCUGUGCAUUCGUCCCCGGCACUGAUCUCCUGCCCUCAGGUACACACAUUCCCUCAAUUUAGGGUUAGGCCGAGAACACCAUGAUUGUAGUUUCUUGCGAACUAGCUUCCACGAUGCGACGAACACCUUUAUCUGCCUUAGAUACGUUUCAUGUUUUCGUGAUAGACCUUAGGCAGUAGCAGGCUUCGGCCAUUUGAUCAUGUCCUUUCCCUAGCGUAGACCCUCGUACCGCGGACCCAACGAUGUCGCUGCGUUAUGUGCAUAGUUCUCUGUCAUUAUUCCAAGCAAUAUCCUUCUAUUUUGACCUAUUCGUAGAUCCACAAUUUACUGCCUAUUUUUAGAAACGUGUUUGCUCAUCUGUCGAGAAUAUCCCUAAGGACGAAAGCACCUCUGAGAGUCGUCGUUUAGCUCCAGCCUUCAUAGCGACUUAACUUUAUUACCAUAGCUAUGACACCUUCCCCUCCAGUCUGAAGGGCGAGUUAUAAUACCUUUGAAGAUAUGUCCAUGAAUCGCCCAAAUAACAGGUUACGGUGUAUGUCAACCAUUUGGCGGGUUACCAAAUCUUUUCCGAACACCGUAGACCCAUACCGGCGGGUUAGAACACUUCCUACUUUUUUACUGAAUCGCCUCAUUCCCCUCUCUUUUGUAGUCAUGGCCAUUACGAAGUGUGACUCGUUACCAACAAAAUCGACGAUGCCACGCUUGAGAAGUUUGUUAAGGUGGGUUUUCUCGAUAGUAAGGAAACCAUUGGUUGGAGAACCGCCCCGGGCGAGUUGACUCCCAACCCCGCUCUAGGAGAAGUAGUAAUGUUUACCGAUUACCUUGAGCGCGGUUUUAAGCCGUCCGGGUCAAAGUUUUUCUGGGACGUCCUGCAUUUCCUCAACGUCCAUCCUUAAGAUCUGGGACCCAACUCCAUCAGCAACCUAUGCCAGUUUCAGGUCUUCUGCGAAGUAUAUUUGUAGAGAGAACCCGUAAUUCCUUUAUUCUGGAACUUUUUCCAUCUAAACCGCCAGACCGAGUUUCCCAACGGUCCCAACCACGAGCUCCGAGGAGUCAACAUCCAAAGACGCCGCGAACGUGGAUUUCCGACAGUUCUUCUGCCCAGCCAUCGCAAAGGCUGGGCCGAGUCAUGGUUCUACUGCCGAGACACCUCUCCACCUGGCGAGAACCCUCUUCCGGGCUUCAGAGCAGAUCGCCUGCCCAUGGACUUUAAAUUUCCCGAUAAGCUCACACAGGAAGAAGAGUCGGAGUUUAUCCCCAUUUUCUCCGAGUUGAAAUCUCUGAACAACAACGGGCUCAUCGGGAUCGAUCUAUUCCGCUGCUGGAUAGAAUGGAACAUCCUUCCCUUGAGUCGCCGAGACGACCUGAUGUAUGAAUACGAUGGUACACUAGACCAUCCACAGUGCUUCAGUCGCCAAAGACUCUCAGAGAGCAAAAUGGUUGGAGUCAUCAAGAAACAAACCGGCGAAACCUUGGAAGAAUGCACCAAGAUUGGGCUUAAGGCCUUCUACCGCGCCAACCCGGUGCCACCAGUAAGAAUCCAAGCCGCCCUUUGUCUUUUUUAUGCUUAACAAUGUUCUUGGCUUAAAAUUUGCCUCUAUCCAUCAGAAAACCGAUGUAUUUUGGCGAAGGGGCCCCAAAGCGAUCGCCCCGAAGUCCACCAAGCUGCCGCCAAAAAAGAAGAAGAUGGUGAGCAAAAAGAAAGCCGCCACCAAAGAUUCAUCUUUUGUUGGCGAGUCACAAGCUGACGAAGCGCACUCAGAGGUAACGCUUCCCCCUCACUCAUUAUCUAUGUAUUCCGACUUAUGUUUACACCAUGCAUCCUUGUGUGUAGGGUGAGGAUGACGAGAGCCAAGGCGAUGUGGUCGAGGUAAUUUCCAUUUCUUUCGACUCACCUUCUCCUUCUCCUAGACCAGUCAGGCGGAUCUGUGGAAAAGUACCAAUGUCUCACCCAUAUGCUUACAUGGACCCUGAUUUACUUUUGAAGAAAGCAAGGCAUACCCCCAAACGCAAGACCCGUAGUCGCUCUGGCGACUUAAUCACCGGACUGCCUGAGAAGACAACCGGUCGGAAACGCACCAGCGAGGUAUACUUUUUGCUUUUAUCAUACACUUUCUUUGUGUAAAAUGUGAGUCGCCGCUUUUUGAACUUCAAGCCUUUGUUCUAUCAGACUUCUCCCCCUACAUCCGGCGACUCGGCAAUAUCAGCUCUCCCGCCGAUGAUUCGUGUGCAAGGGUGAGUCUUCUUUGUUAAUCCAAUAUUUUCUAAACAAUGAUAUGUGCUUUGAAUCUUGGUGCUUUUGUCGCACAGCACAAGCGAAGAGAAGAAAAACUGGCGACCUAUGUUCUGCUCCCCAAACAUCUGACGUCUUAGGCACGAGCACCUCUGUCCGUGAGACUGAUGAAGAGCAAACGGCGGCUCAUGAUAUUCCUGCGGACGAUAUUCCCGAAGCCCGGGAUGACUCGUCCGUCACUUUGAAGGAUACCGCUGAUAAGGGUAACCCGUCAAGCCCUCUCAAAGCGACUGACGAUCCAGACGUCAUGGUCACUGGUACUGGCUACUCCACUCCUUCGACUGCAGUGCUUUCCAAACAUACCUCCAAGGCAACUCGCCCUUCUCCUGAUGAAGACACACCCAACCUCAAGCUCCCCCCAAUAUGAGAAGCUGGAAUUCGACCAACUUUGUUCCGGCUUCGCAAGUCAUCUCGAGAAGCAUUACGAAAUGAACAAGAGCUUGAUCCGUCUUAUGAGGACUAAACAUAAGGUAUGUAUGUUUAUAUAUUUUCCUGCACCCAUUAGCCUUCCAAGGGCCGGCUCAUCUUUUGAAAGAUGAGUCGAGUCUUUGAAUAUAAAAAAUCUCCAACCUGUAGCACCCAAGGGCCGGGUCAUCUUUUGAAAGAUGAGUCGGGUCUUGUAUUAGAUAGAAACUUUAACCUGUAGCCCCCAAGGGCCCGGGCAUCUUUUGAAAGAUGAGUCGGGUCUUGUAUUAGAUAGAAACUUCAACCUGNNNNNNNNNNNNNNNNNNNNNNNNNNNNNNNNNNNNNNNNNNNNNNNNNNNNNNNNNNNNNNNNNNNNNNNNNNNNNNNNNNNNNNNNNNNNNNNNNNNNCCUAAGCUUGGGGAUGCCCCGGGAAGGCAUCCCCUCUUUCGUCUUCAUUCCAUUGAUUAACGUUACUUGGAGCUAUUUUUAUUCACCACAUGAUAUGUGUUUUGCUUGGAGCAUCGUGUAUUAUAGGAGUCUUUUAUUUUUGUUGUGUCACAAUCAUCCUUUCUACACACCGUUUUGAGAGAGACAUGCACUCAUCAUGAUUUUGCUAGAAUACUCUUUGAGCUUCGCUUAUAUCUUUUGAGUUAGGCAAUUUAGCUCGCAUGUGCUUCACUUAUAUCUUUUUGAGCUAGAUAACUUUGCUCUAGUGCUUCACUUAGAUCUUUUUAGAGCACGACGGUGUCAUAUUUUGGAGAAAUAAGAACUCUCGAUCUUCAAUUAUAUCUUUUUGAGAGUGCUCUCUUUGAGUAGCUUGGUAAUUGGCUUGUGCUAUGAAGGUAGUCCUAAAGAUGAUAGGCAUCCAAAGAGGAUAUAACAAAAACUUCCAUAUUCAUAUGCAUUUAUUAGUGAAGAGAAGUUUGAGUCAUCUCAAUUAGUUUUGAGACAUGGAUAUGGUAAUAUUAGAGUUAUGUUAGUAGGGUGUUGUGAAUCUAUAAAUACUUGUGUUAAAGUUAGUGAUUCCCGUAGCAUGCACGUAUGGUGAACCGCUAUGUUAGGAAGUCGGAGCAUAAUUGAUUUAUUGAUUGUCAUCCUUUGUGUUGCGGUCGGGAUCGCGCGAUGGUUAACACCUGUCAACCCUUCCCAUAGGAGUAUGCGUUUAGCACUUUGUUUCGAUUACUAAUAAAAACUUUCGCAAUAAGUAUAUGAGUUCUACAUGACUAAUGUGAGUCCAUGGAAUAGAUGUACUUUCACCUUCCACCAUUGCUAGGCUCUCUAGUGCUGCGUAACUUUUGCCGGUGCACAAACCCACCAUAUACCUUCCUCAAAAUAGCCACCAUACCUACCUAUUAUGGCAUUUUCAUAGCCAUUCCGACAUAUAUUGCCAUGCAACUCCCACCGUUCCGUCUCAUGACAUGUGCCGUCACUUUCAUAUAGCCAUUUCAUGAUUGUAAGAUAGCUAGCGAGAUGUUUCAACGUCAUACGCUAAGCUAGAUCGUUGCACAUCCCGGUACACUGCCGGAGGCACUUCCUAUAGAGUCAUCAUUGUUCUAAGUGUUGAGUUGUGAGUAAAUAAAAGUGUGAUGAUCAUCAUUAUUAGAGCAUUGUCCCAUGUGAGGAAAUAAAAAAAGAGGCCAAAGAUGCCCACCAAAAAAAUGAUAAAAAAGAGAGGCCAAAGAGCCCAAACAAAAAAAAUGAGAGAAAUAGAGAGAAGGGACAAUGCUACUAUCUUUUUCCACACUUGUGCUUCGAAAUAGCACCAUGUUCUUCAUGAUAGAGAGUCUCUUGGUUUGACACUUCCAUAUACUAGUGGGAAUUUUCGUUAUAUAACUUGGCUUGUAUAUUCCAAUGAUGGGCUUUCUCAAAAUUGCCCUAGGUCUUCGUGAGCAAGCAAGUUGGAUGCACACCCACUAGUUCUUCUUUUAAGCUUUCACAUACUUAUAGCUCUCGUGCAUCCGUUGCAUGGUAAUCCCUACUCAUUCACAUUGAUAUCUAUUGAUGGCCAUCUCCAUAGCUCAUUAAUACGCCAAGUCAAUGUGACCAUCUCCUCCUUUUUGCCUCACAACCUNNNNNNNNNNNNNNNNNNNNNNNNNNNNNNNNNNNNNNNNNNNNNNNNNNNNNNNNNNNNNNNNNNNNNNNNNNNNNNNNNNNNNNNNNNNNNNNNNNNNUUUGGACUAACCUAUUAACUCAGUGCCAAGUGCGAGUUCCUGUUUUUCCGUGUUUUUGACCUUUUCCAGAGGAGAAUAUUCAACGGAGUCCAAACAGAAUAAAACCUACGGAAUGAUUUUUUCCAUAACAGAAGACACGCAGGAGACUUGAGAACCAAGGCAAGGGAACUCGGAGGAGGUCACAAGCCACCCAGGCCCGGCCUAGGGGGGCCGGGCCUAGCAGGCUCGUGGCCCCCCUGUGGCUCCCCUGCCCUAGUUCUUCCGCCUUUAAAUUCCCUAAAAAUCAUUAACCACGGGAGAGAGCCACGAAAAUACUUUUCCGCCGCUGCAAGCUUCUGUCUCCACAAGAUCCCAUCUGGGGCACGUUCUGGUGCCUUGCCGGAGGGGGGAUUCGGACACGGAGGGUUUCUCCAUCAACACCAUUGCCUCUUCGAUGAUGCGUGAGUAGUUCACCAUAGAUCUUCGGGUCCAUAGCUAGUAGCUAGAUGGCUUCUUCUCUCUCUUGGAUCUUCAAUACAAAGUUCUCCAUGAUCUUCAUGGAGAUCUAUCCGAUGUAAUCCUCUGUUGUGGUGUUUGUCGAGAUCCGAUGAAUUGUCGAUUUAUGAUCAGAUUAUCUAUGAAUCUUAUUUGAGUUUCUUCUGAUCUCUUAUAUGCAUGAUUUCAUAUCCUUGUAAUUCUCUUUGAGUUGUGAGUUUCGUUUGGCCAACUUGAUCUAUAAUUCUUGCAAUGGGAGAAGUGCUUGGUUUUGGGUUCAUACCGUGCGGUGACCUCACCCAGUGACAGAAGGGGUAGCGAGGCACGUAUCGUGUUGUUGCCAUCAAGGGUAAAAAGAUGGGGUUUAUAUCUAUUGCAUGAAUUUAUCCCUAUACAUCAUGUCAUCUUACUUAAGGCGUUACUCCGUUUGUCAUAACUUAAUACACAAGAUGCAUGCUGGAUAGCGNNNNNNNNNNNNNNNNNNNNNNNNNNNNNNNNNNNNNNNNNNNNNNNNNNNNNNNNNNNNNNNNNNNNNNNNNNNNNNNNNNNNNNNNNNNNNNNNNNNNCACGCUUUGGCUUGCUUAACCCCCGCGCACAAGCCAAUACACUGCUCGUAUAGUGAUUGGGCAUAGCUCAGACUUAAUACAUUCUCUAGUCACACACAAGAGGGACAUCGCCUAUACGCUGGCCAGAUAAUGCCAGUACACCGGCUCGCCUCCGUUCUUAUCCCCUCACGUGUGCCCAUGGCCGCCCCGGCUCGUCCCCGCUCCAUUUGGCGGCCGCUCGGCCACACCUCGGUGGCUCUCCAUGGCUAGGCACCGGCAUCGGAUCCCCCCCGCCAACGGCUUCCCUGAGUGCUUCUGCCGCGAGCACUUCUUGCUCGACGGCCUCGCGUCGCCAAAGGGGAUUCGCCCUGAUCUCCCUGUCGCUCCGAUCGCGCCCUCGUGCAACUCCCUGGCUGUCGUUCCGCCCACGCGCUCGUGUGCCCGUGCGACCGUGUGCUCGCCGCGGCCUGCCGCACUUCACGGGCCUCCGGCUGCCCGUGCCCUGCCCCUACGCGUCGGAUGCUGCUCAACCCCCGCGCGCCGGCCCCUACGUGCCCUGACUCCGCGCCCGCACCACCAUCGUCGGGCCUUGCCCGCCGACUCGCCGUGCCAGCCGCCUGCCUCUGGCGUGCAGUCGCGUCGACUCCCCGCGAUACCUUCUACGCNNNNNNNNNNNNNNNNNNNNNNNNNNNNNNNNNNNNNNNNNNNNNNNNNNNNNNNNNNNNNNNNNNNNNNNNNNNNNNNNNNNNNNNNNNNNNNNNNNNNCGCGACCCCCGGUCUGGCUGCUCCUGUUGGCUCCCUGAUACGUCUCCAACGUAUCUACUUUUCCAAACUCUUUUACCCUUGUUUUGGACUAUAAUUUGCAUGAUUUGAAUGGAACUAACCUGGACUGACGCUGUUUUCAGCAGAAUUGCCUUGGUGUUAUUUUUAUGCAGAAAUCAAAGUUCUCCAAAUGUCCUGAAAAUUUACGGGGAGCAGUUUUGGAAAAUAUCAAAAAUACCUACGCCAGGAUCCACCUCAGGGGGUGGGCCACAAGCCACUGCUCCGCCACCACCCCCUGGUGACGGUGGGCAGGCUUGUGGGGCCCACAGGCACCUGCCGCCCCCAACUCCAGCCCUAUAAGUUGUCUUUCGUCCCAGAAAAAAUAAAAAAGGGAAGUUUCCGUCGCGUUUUCGAUACGGAGGCGCCGCCACCACCUGUUCUUCAUCUGGAGGGCAGAUCUGGAGUCCGUCAUGGGCUCCGGAGAGGGGAAAUCGUCGCCAUCGUCAUCAUCAACCUUCUUCCCUCUCCAAUUCCAUGAAGCUCUUCGUCGUUCGUGAGUAAUCUAUUCGUAGGCUCGUUGGACGGUGAUGAGUAGGAUGAGAUCUAUUAUGUAAUCGAGUUAGUUUUGAUGGGGAUUAAUCCCUAGUAUCAACUAUGUUCUGAGAUUUGAUGUUGCUACUACUUUGCCAUGCUUAAUGCUUGUCACUAGGGCCCGAGUGCCAUGAUUUCAGAUCUGAAAUUAUUAUGUUGUCACCAAUAUAUUUGUGUUUUAGAUCCGAUCUUACAAGUUGUAGUUACCUACUAUGUGUUAUGAUCCGGCAACCCCGGAGUGACAAUAACCGGAACCACUCCCGGUGAUGACCAUAGUUUGAGGAGUUCAUGUGUUCACCAAGUGCUAAUGCGCUGGUCCGGUUCUUUAUUAAAAAUGACCAUAGUUUGAGGAGUUCAUGUGUUCACCAAGUGCUAAUGCGUUGGUCCGGUUCUUUAUUAAAAGGAGAACCUUAAUAUCCCGUAGUUUCCUUUUGGACCCCGCUGCCACGGGAGGGAUGGACAAUAGAUGUCAUGCAAGUUCUUUUCCCUAAGAACGUAUGACGACACACAGAAUGCAUGCCUACAUCACAUUGACGAACGAGAGCUAGCCACAUAUCUCUCCGUGUUAUAGCUGUUGCAUGAUGAAUAUCAUCCAAACAAAUCACCGGCCUAUUGCCUACGAGUUUGUCCUACUGUUGCAUCCAAACAAAUCACCGACCCAUUGCCUACGAGUUUGUCCUACUGUUGCAUCCACACAAAUCACCGACCCAUUGCCUACGAGUUUGUCCUAUUGCUGCUGCUACUAUUGUUACUUGUCUUGCUCUGCUGCUACUACUAUUGCUACUACUGUUGUUACUUGUCUUGCUCCGCUGCUGCUAUUACUGUUGCUACUACUGCUGUUACUUGUCUUGCUCUGCUGCUGCUACUACUGUUGCUACUACUGUCGCUUGCUACUGUUGCUACUUGCUACUGCUGUCACUACUGCUGUUCCUUGCCACUACUAUUGCUCGUUACACUGCUGUUACUCGUUACUUUGCUGUUACUAUUGUGGUUGCAGAUACUAAUCUUUCAGGUGUGGUUGAAUCUGACAAAUUCAGCUGCUAAUACUUGAGAGUAUACUCUCACCUAGAUAGUUGUGCCGGUUGUGUUUUUAGGGGACGAACUGUAGAACAAGGUGAGACCCUGCUGCAUAACGUCUUGAUCAACGAUAAUGCUUGGACUAUUCCCGAACCACCUCCUAAGACAACUCCUAAGAAAAGAGGUAUUCUAUUCCUCAGUCCCGAAGAUAUGCAAGAAGCCAAGAAAUCUAUGCAAGAGAAAGGCAUCAGAUCUGAAGAUGUCAAAAAUCUACCACCUAUCGAAGAGAUCCACGGUCUCGAUAACCCGAUAUAGGUAGUAGAAGUGAAUUCUCUGCGUAGGUUUGACGAGAGUGAUAUUCCUUUUGAUAAACCUGCUAGCCUAUGCUUUGAUGAAUUUGACAACUUUGUUUCCAAACAACGCAGUUUCAAUGAUUAUGUUAGCAGACAUUUGGAAUAAAGUACUCGUAUGCUUAGCUAUCUAAGUGCUUGUGUAGACAGAAAUGUCGAUGCUCUGAAGCUUCUGAGUAAACAUGCCUCUAUGAUUACUACUCAGGUAGAACAAGUACUUAAAGCUCAGAAUGACUUUCUCAAUGAAUUAAAUGACAACUCUGUCAGAGUCAUUACUAGAGGAGGCAAAAUGACUCAGGAACCUUUGUAUCCUGAAGGUCAUCCUAAGAGAAUUGAUCAAGAUUCUCAAGGAAUCAAUGCUGAUACACCUAGUCAUCCUAAGCAGAAGAAGAAGGAUGAUAGAAACCUGCACGCCAGUUCACCAAAUACUAUCACACCUGAAGAACCUAAUGAUAUUUCUGCGUCUGAUGAAGAAACACAAUUAGGUGAUGAACAUGAACCUGGUGACAACAUGGACAGUGAUGUUCAUAAUAAUGCUCAACCUAGCCAUGAUGAGGAUGUGGAGAUUGAAUCUACGGUUAAUCCUGAUAAUCCACAACCUAAGAGAUACGACAAGAAUGACUUUACUGCUAGGAAGCAUGGUAANNNNNNNNNNNNNNNNNNNNNNNNNNNNNNNNNNNNNNNNNNNNNNNNNNNNNNNNNNNNNNNNNNNNNNNNNNNNNNNNNNNNNNNNNNNNNNNNNNNNUUGAUGUUGCUACUACUUUGCCAUGCUUAAUGCUUGUCACUAGGGCCCGAGUGCCAUGAUUUCAGAUCUGAAAUUAUUAUGUUGUCACCAAUAUAUUUGUGUUUUAGAUCCGAUCUUACAAGUUGUAGUUACCUACUAUGUGUUAUGAUCCGGCAACCCCGGAGUGACAAUAACCGGAACCACUCCCGGUGAUGACCAUAGUUUGAGGAGUUCAUGUGUUCACCAAGUGCUAAUGUGUUGGUCCGGUUCUUUAUUAAAAGGAGAACCUUAAUAUCCCGUAGUUUCCUUUUGGACCCCGCUGCCACGGGAGGGAUGGACAAUAGAUGUCAUGCAAGUUCUUUUCCCUAAGCACGUAUGAAGACACACGGAAUGCAUGCCUACAUCACAUUGACGAACGGGAGCUAGCCACAUAUCUCUCCGUGUUAUAGCUGUUGCAUGAUGAAUAUCAUCCAAACAAAUCACCGACCUAUCGCCUACGAGUUUGUCCUACUGUUGCAUCCAAACAAAUCAUCGACCCAUUGCCUACGAGUUUGUCCUACUGUUGGAUCCAAACAAAUCACCGACCCAUUGCCUAUGACUUUGUCCUAUUGCUGCUGCUACUACUGUUGCUACUACUGCGGUUACUUGUCUUGCUCUGCUGCUACUACUGUUGCUACUACUGCUGUUACUUGUCUUGCUCUGCUGCUGCUACUACUAUUGCUACUACUGCUGUUACUUGUCUUGCUCUACUGCUGCUACUACUGUUGCUACUACCGUGGCUUGCUACUGUUGCUACUUGCUACUGUUGUCACUACUGCCGUUCCUUGCCACUUCUAUUGCUCGUUACACUGCCGUUACUCGCUACUUUGUUGUUACUAUUGUGCUUGCAGAUACUAAUCUUUUAGGUGUGGUUGAAUCUGACAAAUUCAGCUGCUAAUACUUGAGAAUAUACUCUCACCUCCUAAUUGGCUUACCUACAAAUUUGGGUCGAAUACUCUCGAAAACUGCUGCGAACCGACGCACUGGUGGGCCAUCAACAACAUUCUUCCAGUCUCAUUACUCGGGAGUGCUAUCAGCAUUCCUCUGGUGCCGUUGCACGAGAAGGUUAGUUGUUAUAAGCAUUCGUCUAGCUAACCCCAGAGAUUGCAGGAUCAACCCUUUUCUGGAGCCAUUGCCACGGAAGCACAACUGACGUCACUCCCUGACCCGGCCGGCUCCUCGGUCCAGCUGGAUCCCUGCUCCGGCUGGCUCCCAUUGGGACGACUCCAAGGUUGGCUGGCUCCAAGUUUGGUCGGCUCCAGGGUUGAUCGGCUUCACGACCCCCGGUCUGGCUGCUCCAGCUGCCUCCCUGUACGACUCCUCCGACUGGCCAGCUACGCGGAGUCCCCGGUGGACUCGGCGUCCUGUAGAGCCACGCACCCAUCAUCGGGCAAACUUCGCGUGUUCAUCUGGCAGGGCCCCACGCCCAUCAGCCGACGGACCCCUGCGUCCGCGCCCGUAGGCCCCUGCACCCAACAGUCGGCGGACUCCACGUUCGCGCCUCACACCUUCGAUGCCAUUGUCUCCUUCAGCAACAACAAAGAACCUCCGCCCGACUCUUCGUGUCGCCUGGAGACUCGGAGGCUACACCCAGCGGGUGUGCUUGCGUGCCCCUGCCGGUAACAACCAGCCGACAGACUCUGCGUCCACAUACGGCAAGGCCCCGCACCCACCAGCCGGUGAACUCCCGCGUCCCUCCUCGGUAGGGCUCCGUGCCCCUCGAUCGUCGGACCGCGCGUCAAUGCCUGACAGGGCCCCGCGCCCGUCAGUCGGUGGACUCCGCGUCCUCACCCAACAUCUUCGACACUGCCGUCUGCCUCACCGACACCGAAGACCCUCCGCCCGACUCUUCAUGUCGCCUGGAGGCUUGGAGGCUACACCUAGUGGGUGCAUUUGUGUGCCCCCGUUGGAAAUAGCCAGUCGGCGGACUUAGUGUCCACGCCCGAUAUGGCUCGUGCCCAUCAGCCGGCGGACUCCGUGUCCAUGCACGGCAGUGCCUCACGUCCAUCAGCUGACGCACCCCGCGUCCACACAUGGUAGGGCCCUGCACCCAUGGGUCAGCAGACUCCACGUCCACGCCCGACAUCUUCGACGCCAUCGUGUUCUUUAGAAACUAUGAAGACCCACCGCCCGACUCUUCGAGUCAUGUUAGAAGCAACCACGUUGGUUGCGUCCCGCGACCGACCGUUGCCAACAAACUCUCCUACGAAAAGAGCGAAAACCCCCGCUAACUUUCCAAGUCACUCGGAGGCUCGGAGGAUACUGUUGGGGGGAUAACCCCCGGGUAUGCUCAAGGAGCUGACUCAAAAUUUCAAAACAUCGGGGUGGCUAACGCUACUCCGGCUUGCUCCCUGGUCCGGCAGGCUCCCCACUCUGGCUGGCUCCCCAGUCCGGCUAGCUCCUAGUUGGCUGGCUCCAAGGAUGGCCAGUUACAAGGAUGGCGGGCUCCAGGGUUGGCCGUCUCCACGACCCCCGAUCCGGCUGAUUCCUCUGCCCGGAUGGCUCCCCAAUCCGGCUGGCUCCCAGUCCGGUUGGCUCCUAGUUGGCCAGCUUGAAGGUUGGCCGGCUCCAAGGUUGGACGGCUCCAAGGUUGUCCGGCUCCAAGACUGGCCGACUCCAGAGUACGGCAGGCUCCUCGGACCGGUUGGCUCCCCGAUCUAGCUGGCUUCCCGGUCCGGCUGCCUCCAAGUUGGCCGGCUCCAAUGUUGGCCGGCUCCCAGUUGGCCGACUCCAAUGUUGGCCGACUCCCUAGUUUAGUUGGCUCCCCGGUUGGAUAGCUCCUCACUCCGUCUGACUCCCUAGUCUGGCUGUCAACUAGUUGGCCGGAUCCAAGGUUGUCGGAUCUAGGGUUGGCAAGAUCCACGACUCUCGGUCUGGCUGUCUCCUCGAACCGACAGGCUCCCCGCUUCAGCUGGAUCCCUGGCCCGGCUGGCUCCCCAGUCCGGCUAGUUUCCCAGUCCGGCUGGCUCCCUGUCCCGAUUGGCUCCCUGGUCUGGCUGGCUUCCAAGUCCGAGUGGCUCCCCGGUCCGAGUGGCUCCUAGUUGUCUGGCUCCAAGGUUGGCUGGCUCCUAGUUGGUCGUCUCCCAGUUGGGCGGUUCCUAUGUUGGUCGGAUCCCUAGUUUGGCCGGCUCCUCGGUUGGCCAGCUCAAAGGUUGGCCGACUCCAAGGUUGGCCGGCUCCAGGGUUGGCCGGAUCCAUGACCCCCCUCCGGCUGGCUCCUCGGCCCGGCUGGGNNNNNNNNNNNNNNNNNNNNNNNNNNNNNNNNNNNNNNNNNNNNNNNNNNNNNNNNNNNNNNNNNNNNNNNNNNNNAAAGAGUGUCAACUCGAGGUACUAAUGAUCCCACUAUUUUGGAGGGUGUUGAAUUUUUCAUAAUGCUAAAAGUGGAUUUGGGGAGUUAUGACUUUAUUUAGUGAUGAGUCCACUAUUUUGGAGGAGGCUUCAAUUGACUAUGACAAGAAAGUUGCUAUCUAUGAUGAUUAUUAUGAUGACAUUUAUGCUAUAAAGAAUAAGGAUAACCAUUAAACUUAUCAUCAUGAUUUUAAUUUUCACAUUGGUUAUAUAAAUCAAGUAUCUCAUGAUAGUUAUUUUGUUGAGUUUGCUCCCACUACUAUGAAUGAUAAGAAUUUUCUUGUGUGGGUAGUAAUAAAAAUUCUACGCUUGUGCAUCAUGAAAAGAAUGUUGUAUGUGAUAGUUAUAGUUUUGAAUUCCUUCAUCAUGCUAUUGAAAAUUAUUAUGAGGGGGGAUAUAUGCUUGUACGAAUUGCAAUAAUAUCAAGUUUCCUCCCUAUGUGUUCAAAGUUUUGAAGUGAUGCUUGUUUUGCCCUCCUAUGCAAGUUAAUUAUUUCUACAAUAAAUUUUUUGCUUCUAAAAUGCCUAUGCAUAGGAAGUGGGUUAGACUUAAAUGUGCUUGCCAUGUGAUUCAUGAUGUUCUCUUGCAUGUUUCAACUAUUAUUCCUAUACGAGCAUCAUUGAAACCAUCAUGCCUAGCAAAAAGGCAUUAAAGAAAAGCGCGUGUUGGGAGACAACCCAAUAUUUAACCUUUUUGUUUUUCAGUAUUAAUCAUGUUUUAUUGAUUUUAUUUUAAUAAAGUUGUUGGGGGANNNNNNNNNNNNNNNNNNNNNNNNNNNNNNNNNNNNNNNNNNNNNNNNNNNNNNNNNNNNNNNNNNNNNNNNNNNNNNNNNNNNNNNNNNNNNNNNNNNNACCCAAGACUCGGAGAGACUUACAAGGAUAUCAAAUCAUGCAUAUAAUAAAUCAGCAAAGACUCGAAUAUAUAUCACAGAUAAUCUGAUCACAAAUCCACAAUUCAUCGGAUCUCGACAAACACACCGCCAAAGAAGAUUACAUCAGAUAGAUCUCCAUGAAGAUCAUGGAGAACUUUGUACUGAAGAUCCAAGAGAGAGAAGAAGCCAUCUAGCUACUAACUACGGACCCGUAGGUCUGAAGUGAACUACUCACGAGUCAUUGGAGGGGCGAUGAUGAUGAUGAAGAAGCUCUCCAACUCCAAAGUCCCCUCCGGCACGGCACCGAGAAGGGUCUCGAGAUGAGAUCUCGCGGAAACGGAAGCUUGCGGUGGCGGAAAAGUAUUUUCGUGGAUCCUUUGAUUUUUUCUGGAACUUCAAAGUCCCCUCCGGCAGGGCACCGGGAAGGGUCUCCAGAUGAGAUCUCGCGGAAACGGAAGCUUGCGGCGUCGGAAAAAGUAUUUUCGUGGAUCCCUUGAUUUUUUAUGAUAUUUAGGGAAUAUAUAGGCGCAGGAUCUAGGUCAGGGGGGCGCCAGGGAGGCCACAAGCCUGCCCACCGCCGCCCCCUGGUGGCGGAGUGGGGGCUUGUGGGCUCCUUGUAGCCCUCCUAGCUUGGUCCAGAAGCCCCCUGAUCUUCUUCCGUUCGGGAAAAAAUCAUUUCGGGGAUUUUAUUCCGUUUAGACUCCGUUCCAAAAUCAGAUCUGAAAAGAGCCAAAAACACAGAAAAAACAGGAACUGGCACUUGUCACUGAAUUAAUAAGUUAGUCCCAAAAAAUAUAUAAAAGGUACAUAAAACAUCCAAAGAUGACAAGAUAAUAGCAUGAAACCAUCAAAAAUUAUAGAUACGUUUGAGACGUAUCAAGCAUCCCCAAGCUUAACUCCUGCUCGUCCUCGAGUAGGGAAGUGAUAAAGAAUGAAUUUUUUAUGCUUUCAUGCUACCUAGCAUAUAUGUCCUUUCUAACUCCUCUUAUGUGACGUGAAUGUUCAGAUCCAUUAGAUUCAAAACAAUAGUUUGCUAUUGACGUGGAAACAGUAAUAAUUCAAGCAAACUAGCAAGGUAAUCAUGAACUUUCAAAAUAACAAGGCCAAAAGAAAGUUAUCCCUACAAAGGCAUAUAGCCUGGCUAUGCUCUACCAUCAUUGCACAAUGAAUUUAAAUCAUGCACAACCCCGGUAUUGGCCAAGUAAUUGUUUCACACCUUUACUUUCUCAAACAUUUUCAACCCUCACGCAAUACAUGAGCGUGAGCCAUGGUUAUAGAACUAUAGAUGGUGUAGAGUGUGGUGGAGGUUGCAAGACAAAACAAGGAGAAGAUGGUCACAUUAACUAGGCAUAUAAAUGAUCUGUGGAGAUGCUCAUCAAUAGAUAUCAAUGUGAAUGAGUAGGGAUUUCCAUACAAAUGAUGCACUAGAGCUACGAGUAUGUGAAAGCUCUUAAAGAAAACUGGUGGGUGUGCAUCCAACUUGCUUGCUCACGAAGACCUAAGGCAAUUUUGAGGAAGCCUAUCGUUGGAAUAUACAAGCCAACUUAUAUAAUGAAAAUUUCCCACUAGCUAUAUGGUGGUGACAAAACGAGAGCCUCUCAAUCAUGAAGAUCAUGGUGCUUAAUAUGCACAAGUGUGGAAAAAGUGGUAGCAUUGUCCCUUCUCUCUUUUUCUCUCAUUUUUUGGUGGGAUCUUUGGCCUCUUUUUUUUUGGUGGGCUUCUUUGGCCUCUUUUAUUUCCUCACAUGGGACAAUGCUCCAUCAAUGAUGAUCAUCACACUUUCAACUCAAAACUUAGAGCAACGAUGACUCUAUAUGGAAUGCCUUCGGUAGUGUACCGUGGCAAUGAUCUAGCAUGGCAUAGACAUUAAUGGAAACUUCAUGCUAGCUAUCUUAUGAUCAUGCAAUGGAAGUGUAUACGUGAUGGCACAUGUCAUGGUGGUAUUUGCAUGGCAAUAUAUCUCGGAAUGACUUUGAAAAAGCCAUAGUAGGUAGGUAUGGUGGCUGUUUUGAGGGAGGCUAAUGGUGGGUUUUGUGCACCGGCAAAAGUUGCACGGCACUAAGAAGAUAGUGAUGGUGGAAGGUGAAAGUGCAUCUAAACCAUGGACUCAACAUUAGUCAUGAAGAACUCAUAUACUUGUUGCAAAAGUUUUAUUAGUAAUCGAAACAAAGCAUUCAACACAUACUCCAAGGGGGAGGGUUGGUAGGUAUAAACCAUCGCGCGAUCCCGACCGCCACGCAAAGGAUGACAAUCAAUAGACUAAUCAUGCUCAGAUUUCAUCACAUAGAGGUUCACCAUACGUGCAUGCUACGGGAAUCACUAACUUCAACACAAGUAUUUCUAGAUCCACAACACCUUACUAGCAUGACUUCAAUAUUACCAAAACCACAACUCAAAACUAAUUGAGAUGAAUCAAACUUCUCUAACUAUUCAAUGCACAUGAAGGUGGAAGAUUUCGUAUCCCUUUGGAUAACUACCCCUUUUGAGACUACUUUCAAAGCAUAGAUCAACUACCAAGCCAUGCACCGCUGUGCUCUAAAAGAUAUAAGUGAAGCACAUGUGAGCUGAAUUGUCUACCAAAAGAUAUAAGUGAAGCUCGACAAAAUCACGAUGAGUGCAUGUCUCUCUCUAGGUGUGCAGCAAGGAUGAUUGUGGCACAACAAAAAUAAAAGACUCCUAUGAUACAAGACGCUCCAAGCAAAAACACAUAACAUGUGGUGAAUAAAAAUUAUGGCCCCAAGUAACGUUACCGAUGGAUUGAAGACGAGAGAGGGGAUGCCUUCCCGGGGCAUCCCCAAGCUUAGGCUUUUACAACAUACUUGAAUCUCUUGGGGUGCUUUGGGAAUCCCCAAGCUUGAGCUCUUGCCACUCUUUAUCUCUUUGUCCAUAAGAACUUCACCCAAAACUUGAAAACUUCACAACAUGAAACUUAAACAGAAACUCGUGAUAACAGUAGUAUGAGAAAGCAAACCACCACUUCCUUAGGUACUGUAGAAAACUUAAAUUCUACUUAUGCUGAUGUUGGGUUACGGUAUUUUCAAUCUUCCAUGGCUAAUACCCCCCGAUACUAUCCAUAGUUUCAACAGAAUAGCAACCAACACAACAAAAACAGAAUCUGUUAAUAGCAGACCAGUCUGUAGCAAUCUGUAUAUUUAGUAUACUUCUGGUACUUCACAAAUUCUGAAAAACUACGACAGUCUGAAGAAUUUGCGUAGAAAUCAGAAUCAAAAAGAAUCAACUCAAAAGCUCUUAAGGAACAAAAAUGAAAAUUCUUUUCGUGAUCACAAAGUUUCUGUCUUUUCCAGCAUGACCAAACGAUCAUCCCCAAGACUAAUCAUAACGGUUUUGAUUGGCACAAACGCAAAAAGAAACACAAAAAACACAAUCAUAACAGAAUUGUGAAAGUGUGGAAAACACAAAACAGAAAGAAAAAGGAUAGAUUCGUUGGGUUGCCUCCCAACAAGCGCUUUUGUUUAACGCCCUUAGCUAGGCAAAAGGUGAUGGGAUCACGUAUAGUCAUCUUUGGUGCUCAAACCAUAAGUAGUAUGAUCAUUUAUCAUCUUAAGAUCUUAAUCUUUAUUGGAUGACUCACCACUAGCUUUAGGAACAAAAACAGACUUGACGGUCUUUUUGAGAAUGAGAUUUGGAGUAUUUUGCACAGCGGCAAAAGCGGAACCCAAGUUGGUUAUGACAUCUUCUAAUUUGCCAAUUCUAGAAGAAUCAUUAACUAUAAGUUCCUUCUCCCUUAAACUUUUCAAAAACUUUCCCACUUUGGAUCCGUACUGAGUAAUUUUAUUGUGUAUCUUUCUAUCCAAACCCUCAAUAAGUUCAACUGUGGCAAUUUUUUUUUCAAUAGCGUCAAGCCUUUGCAUCACGUGUUCCAAGGUCAAGGUAGUUCCAUUAACCAUGAGCGGGGGUGAGCCUACCAAAUUCAUGAUAGCUCCAUAGGAGUCAACAGUAUGUCUCCCCAAAAAAUUCCCGCCUACGAGGGUAUCAAGGAUGUACCUAUUCCAAGGAGAAAUGCCAACAUAGAAACUGCGAUGGAGGACGGUAGUGGAUUGCUUACGAGUAGAUCUACUCUGAGCAUUGCAAAUCCUGUACCAAGCGUCCUUUAAAUUUUCUUCCUCAUUCUGCCUGAAAUUCAGAACUUCAUUCUCAGGAGUAUCGUUUGGAGUGGUGGGUCUAGCCAUUGAUGAACUAUCUCACACACAAACGAGCAGGAAGAGAGAGUGAAACGGGCAAAAGAAAAUGGCAAAGGAGAAAGGCAAAUGAAAACGGCAAAUGUGAAGUGGGGGAGAGGAAAACGAGAGGCAACUGGCAAAAAAGUAAAUGCAAGAGAUGAGUUUGUGAGACCUACUUGGAUAGAUCUCUCCUUCCCCGGCAACGGAGCCAGAAAUACUUCUGCUACUGCAACAAAAGACCUUCCAACGGUGCCAGAAAUAGGUGUGUUGACGGCACCAGGAAUCCUUCUGCUAUGGCUACGCCUUAAGAGACUUCCUAGGCAAAUAUGCAAAGGAUUUCCCUCGUGGCCUUGGAGCCUUGCGUUGGUGUUCCCUCGAAGUGGAAAGGGUGAUGUAGCGCAGCGGUGGUAAGUAUUUCCCUCAGUUUGAGAACCAAGGUAUCGAUCCAGUGAAGGAGUAUCACAAGAGCCUGCACAAACAAAAAAAGCUUGCUCCCAACGCUAUGAAGGGGUUGUCAAUCCCUUAUAGAUUGUUCGCCAAGUGAGAACUGAAAGCAACAAAGUGACAAAGCAAAGUAAAAGCGAAAGUGGAAACGUAGGUGUGAAUAGACCCGGGGGCCGUAGUGUUUACUAGUGGCUUCUCUCAUGAAAGCAAGUAGACGGUGGGUGAACAAAUUACUGUCGAGCAACUGAUAGAACCGCACAAAGUCGUGACGUCAUCUAUGGCAAUGAUUAUAUUUAUAGGCAUCACGUCCAAAACAAGUAGACCGAUACUUUCUGCAUCUACUACUAUUACUCCACACGUCGACCGCUAUCCAGCAUGCAUCUAGUGUAUUAAGUCCAAAAGAACAGAGUAACGCCUUAAGCAAGAUAACAUGAUGUAGAUGGACAAUCUCAUAUCUACGACAGAGCCCACCUUGUUACCCUUGAUGGCAACUACACGAUGUGUGCCUUGCUGCCCCUACUGUCACUGGGAAAGGUCACCACACGGUAAGAACCCAAAACCAAGCACUUCUCCCAUUGCAAGAAUCAUAGAUCUAGUUGCCAAACAAAACCCAAGACUCGGAGAGACUUACAAGGAUAUCAAAUCAUGCAUAUAAGAAAUCAGCAAAGACUCAAAUAUAUAUCAUAGAUAAUCUGAUCACAAAUCCACAAUUCAUCGAAUCUCGACAAACACACCGCCAAAGAAGAUUACAUCGGAUAGAUCUCCAUGAAGAUCAUGGAGAACUUUGUACUGAAGAUCCAAGAGAGAGAAGAAGCCAUCUAGCUACUAACUACGGACCCGUAGGUCUGAAGUGAACUACUCACGAGUCAUUGGAGGGGCGAUGAUGAUGAUGAAGAAGCUCUCCAACUCCAAAGUCCCCUCCGGCACGGCACCGAGAAGGGUCUCGAGAUGAGAUCUCGCGGAAACGGAAGCUUGCGGUGGCGGAAAAGUAUUUUCGUGGAUCCUUUGAUUUUUUCUGAUUUUUAGGGAAUAUAUAGGCGCAGGAUCUAGGUCAGGGGGGCGCCAGGGAGGCCACAAGCCUGCCCACCGCCACCCCCUGGUGGCGGAGUGGGGGCUUGUGGGCUCCCUGUAGCCCUCGUGGCUUGGCCCACAAGCCCCGUGAUCUUCUUCCGUUCGGGAAAAAACAUUUCGGGGAUUUUAUUCUGUUUGGACUCCGUUCCAAAAUUAGAUCUGAAAAGAGCCAAAAACACAGAAAAAACAGGAACUGGCACUUGGCAUUGAAUUAAUAAGUUAGUCCCAAAAAAGAUAUAAAAGGUACAUAAAACAUCCAAAGAUGACAAGAUAUCAGCAUGAAACCAUCAAAAAUUAUAGAUACGUUUGAGACGUAUCAGGGCCUUGCCCUUAUUAUUUCUACAUGACACGCUAGUUUCAUUGCAUACCCUGCAACACUGGCAUAGGCAUACAUUUGCAUACAUCAAGAUAGUUUUCGUUUGUCUUUAUGUUGAGUACUUUUUAUAAAGUGUGAAGAUCUUCUUUUAUUCUUGUAAAACAUAGAUUGUUGCCCUUAAGUGAGGAGAAGAUCCCAAAGAGGAUAAAUUAAAAGAUCCCAAAGAGGACAAAUGAGAGAUAAAUAGAAAGAGCCAAAUAGUCCACAAAAAAAUAAAAAUAAAUAAAAAGAGAGAAGGGGGCAACACUACUAUUCCUUUUGAAAUAUCCACACUCGUACUCCAUUGUUAUAUUUGUACUCCAUAGAGAUUAUCAUUCAUGCAUAACUAUGUGGGGACCCUUACACUAUAGAACUUGGCUUGUAUAUUCCAAUGGUGAGCCUCCUCAAAUGAGCUCUAGGUCUUCAUGAGCAAGCAAGUUGGAUGCACCCCCACUAGUUCCAUUGGAGAGCUUACCUUAGCUCAUAUGUGCAUCUGUUGUGUGGCAAUCCCUACUCCUCACAUCAUAUCUAUCAUUUGGCUUUCUCUUGCCUAUGGUUGUCCUCAUUGAUGUGAGCCUUUCACACCUUUUUUGUCUUCCUUACCCAUCAUUAUUCUCUUUGCCAUCCUAAGUGCCAACAUAUCUUGCUUGCACUCAUCCAUUGCAUGAGUGCUCAAAGUCGAAAGGGAGAGGAUCAUUUUGACUUGUGUCUGACUAGUGGUCUCGGGAUGAGUCAAAAUAAGAUUCUAAAGGAGACCAAGUGUGAAGUUUUAGUUGAAAGUGCAUGCUAUGCUCCUAAUCGACUUUUGGUGUUAAUGACAACACAUACAUAGGAAACUAAUCCUAUUUGUUGAGUAUAUCUCACGAUGGCAGGUACUUUAGUAGAUUGAGAAUUAUGUGCCAAAGGUGGUCUGAGAAGAUCGGGAUUUAUAUUUCGAGAAGGCUCGGGAUUAAGAAAAGAUGAUGUAGACUAUUCUUUUGAGUUUACUGAUAUUGAGUAUAGGGAUCCCGCACUAUUAAGAGGGGAUCACAGGUUUUGCGAUGAACUUGCUCAUACCACAUCUUCACUGUCAUACCCAAUACCACAUAUUCUCCACUCUGUUCUUAUCUCUCAACAGGUCUAUUUUCUCGGACGUCCGGCUCCCUCCGGACGUCCGAGGGCCGGACGACCGGUAGGCUUCGGAAAUCCGGAGCCCUCCACCAGAAGUAUUUGAGUCAUAUAACUCGGAUUUCCGGCUCCCUCCGGACGUCCGAGGGCCGGACGACCGGUAGGCUUCGGAAAUCCGGAGCCCUCCACCAGAAGUAUUUGAGUCAUAUAACUCGGAUUUCCGGCUCCCUCCGGACAUCCGAGGGCUGGAAGUCCGACCAGCCUCGGAAAUCCGGAGCCCUGCAACAGUAGAACAUGAGUUCUUUAACUCGGAUUUCCGGCUCCCUCCGAACGUCCGAGGGCCGGACGUCCGACCCCCUUCAGAAAUCCGGAACCUACCACCAGAAGAAGUUGAGUCAAAUAACUCGGAUUUCCGGUCCUCUCCGGACGUCCGGUCGCUGUUCAAUUCACAGUAUUUUCAGUCAUAUCUACAAGCCUCGGACAACCGACCCCUGUCGGACGUCCGACCCCUCGCGGACGCCCGGACUUCCGGCAACUGUCGGACGUCCGGACCCUGUGUGACUUAAAGUGUCCCCAACGGCUGUUUUUCACUCCCCACUAUAUAUAUACUCUUCUCCCACCUCGUGAAAGGGUGUUCAACACAGCUAGAAUACAUCCAAGAACACCUUUCCUCUCACUCACUCUUGUCUACACCAAAUCCUAGAUCCCAAGAGCAUUUGUGAGUCCCUCUGAGUGUUGUUCCAAUCAAAAGAUAGAUCGUCUCCCUCUCCUCCUUCCCACCAAAGUGAUUUGUUAUUUGAGCAAGUUUUGAGAAAUCCCCGUGAUCUUGUUACUCUUGGAGGUUGGAGACUCCUAGGCAGUAGGAGUCUUCCGAGAGGAAUCAAACCAUUGUGAUUUCCCUCGGAAAGUUUGUGAAGGUUUGGAAGCCACCUCAAGGCUUACCACUAGUGGUUGAGAAACGCCUUCGUGGAGUUAUCUCAAAGGGAGAAUAGGGUGAGCCUUCGUGGCGUUGGUGUGCCUUCGUGGUAACAUCCGCCCCUUUAACGGUGACGUAGCUUCCCUCCAAGGAAUUGAACAUCGGGAUACAUCCUUGUCUCUCUUGGAGUUUCGGUUAUUCCUAGCCCUAACUCUCUACUUGUGUUAAUCCUUAUUACGUACUUGUAUUUGAUUAUUGUUUACUGCUUGUCUUACUUCAUCUAAAUAGCUUACUCCUUGUCGUAGCAAUUAUUAGGCCUACACUCAUAUUCCGCACUUCUGCCUAAAAUUGCUAAGUAAUUAUUAAAAUUUGGAUUUGUACCUAUUCACCCCCCUCUAGGUCCAUCUUGAUCCUUUUCAAUUGGUAUCAGAGCCUCAUGCUCUAUUCUUGUGGCUUAACCAUCCUAGAGCGAGAUGGACGGGUUUCCAGCUACGGUAGCUCAUGUUCAGAGGGACGGGACUUCCUCGAAAGUCAAGUCUUUCACCUCUGAGGACCUGGAAUGGGCCCUUGCCAAGAAAAAAGAGGAGCAUGAUGCUUCUCUUGAGGCCAUGGUCCAAAUGAGACUAGCAUCACUAACCACGGGGACAACCACGUCCCCGAGGGCCUCAGGGCCACAUGUGCACGGUACUUCAUUUGGCCAACAACCUCCGGAAAGGAACCAAACCAGUGUUCCAUGGCUUUAUUCUAGAUCUCAAAUUGAUAAACCUAAGUACAAUCCUGGAGGAAAACCUCCCUUGCUUGAUGAAAAUUCCGAUUUUGCUUUGUGGAGAGUUGGUAUGCAGGAUCAUCUUAGGUACGCCAAUGAUGAGAUGUUGGACAUCCUCGAGCAUGGGUACAAUCCUGUAGAUCCAAGGUGCCUCACUCCCAGAGAAACUUAUGACAAGCAUCUCAAUGACACUGCAAUCAUGUGCAUAAGAAAAGGAAUGAAUGACAAGCAACGAAGACCUUACAUUCACAUCACAAGUGCCAAGGAACUGUGGGAUAGCAUUAUAAGGACCAAGACCGGUACCUCCACUCUUCGGCUUGCUCAAUAUGAAAUUGCCAAGGGGCAAUUACAGAAUUUCUGUAUGGAAAAGGGUGAAUCUCCCAAGCAACUACUAGAACGGCUCAUGACUCUCGCCGCAGACAUUGAGUCAUGUGACUGUGACAAGACGCAAGAUGGUUUCAAUCUGACCAAGAGAUUUCUUGUGGACAAGUUACUUCAUGCUCUUGCUCCGUAUCACCAUCAAAUGGUAUGGGACAUGAGGCAGCACCAUGGGUUCAAAGAAAUGACUCCAGAUGACAUCAUAUCCACUUUCCAAUUAUUUGAAGAGUCAAAGGCAAAUGCAACAAAGCACCUUGCCAUGCAUGGCACUUCAACAUCAAAGAUCAAUCUUGCUUUGAAAGCCAAGCAUGAAUGUGAUGAAGAAGAAAGUGAAGAAGAAGAGGGUGAUGAUGACUGCAAAGAUGGUGAUGAUGUUGACUCUGAUGAAAGCCCAUCUUAUGAGGACAUUGCUCUCUUUGUAAAGAAGUUCAGUGCAGGAAAGUUCAAGGGAAGAUUCCCAAAGAAGAAGGUAAGGAAAUGCUAUAACUGUGAGGAAACCAACCACUUCUCCAAUGACUACCCUUAUGAGAAGAGAGAAGACAAACCAAGGUUUCCAAAGACCUUUGUAAUAAAGAAGUUGCCAAACCCUAUGAACUCCAAGUUCAAGAGGACACAUGGAAGAGCAAUGGUUGCACAAGAAGAAUCAGAUCCAGAAGAUGUUGGUGGAGUUGCCGGAGUAGCUCAGGAUACACAAAACACCUUGAGGCUAGUCAACAAAAGUGGUGAUGUUGUUCACUACAACUAUAUGAAGGACUACAAGGGCAACGCUCACAAAUGUUUGAUGGCAAAGACUGCCAUGGGAGAUGAGGAAGACCAAAGCUUCCAUGAUAAGGUUAAGGUAACUCCACGGUUAAACUCCUUCACUCUAGUUUCUACUCCAUCUGAUGAGUAUCUUGAUGCAGAAGAUCACUAUGAGGAUAAUGACUUAGAUCAUCCCAUGUUUGCUAAAAUAAACAAAUUUAUGUGCUCUCUUAAAGGAAAGAAGCUCACUAUGUUUCGCAUACUUACGGAAAUGGUGAGUAAGCACACCAAUACCAUCAAGGAACUCGAAACCCUCAUCACUGAGGAGAAGGAAAGAAAUGAAAUCCUUUAGCAGAAAGUCUUGUAUGAGGAAGCACAAAAUGAUGCACUAUGCUAAAAAGUAGGUGAAAACCUUGAUAAACAUGCUAAUGAUCUUGCCUCCUUGAAAAAGGUUGAAUCUGUGUGCAAAGUAUUACUAAAUGAUAAAGACCGACUUGUGAACUCUCAUGCUUCCCUUUCUAAGGACUGUGAGCGUCUAUCCUUGUCUCUCAAAGACAAGGAAGAUAAACUCAUUGUUCUUACAAAGAGCUUUGAGGCACUUAAGGUUACCUAUCUUGACACUCUAGCUAAGGCCUACUCCUCACCUAUCAUUAAUGUUGAUACCUACACUACUAACUCUAGUAGUGAACUGACAUCUAUCCUUGAGGAAAACUGUUCACUAAAGGCACAGCUAGACAGAGGUCUCAUGACAUGUGCACAAGGACAAAAGACUCUCAAUGAGAUCUUAAGUCGACACAAUGGAGGCUUCGCCAAGGAAGGGCUUGGGUUCAACCCAAGCACUGCCAAGAAAAGUGCAUCUCCUCUCAAGUGUACCACUCCGCUUAAAGAAAUAUUUGUACGAGAGGGACACAAGGAGAAAGGUAAGGUUGUGAGUGGAUCGGCCACUAGGGGUUCGCCUACUCACAACAAGACAACUGAAUUCAUGCCUCCAUCCUAUGUACUACGCAAAUCAAAGGAAGGAGAGGUCUAUGCUAAAUUCGUUGGUCCCCGUAAUGCAUUCCGAUUCUAUGUUAUUUGGGUUCCUAAGACUCUUGUAACUAAUGUGAAAGGCCCCAUGACAAAAUGGGUACCUCAAACCAAGUCUUAAUUCGUUACAGGCUGUUUUCUCCAGAGGAGCCAAAUGGGUGAUCGACAGUGGAUGCACCAAUCAUAUGACCGGAGAUAGUAACUUGCUCUAUGACUUCAUGCAAGCCAUUCGACCAUACAUGAGCAUUGUAUUUGGUGGAGGGUCGAAAGGGCAGGUAAUUGGGUUGGGCAAGGUGGAAAUCACUAAUGACAUGUCUAUUGCAAAUGUCAUGCUUGUCCAAUCUCUUCAAUAUCAUUUACUUUCAGUUCGCCAAUUGGCUUCCGUCGGUUAUGACACAUUAUUUGGACUAACGGAUGUGAAAGUCUUUAAGAGAGACACUCUCGAAGUGGCCUUUGUUGUAGAGUUGGAUGGCAACCUUUACACGGUUGAUUUCUCGAAAGAGAGAACCUUCCAUACAACUUGUCUAAUGGCCAAGGCCGACAUGGGAUGGUUGUGGCAUCGCCGCCUCGCCCAUGUUGGCAUGAAAAAUCUUCAAAAUCUCUUAAACGGCAAUCACAUCCUUGGACUAACAAAUGUAUCUUUUAAGAAAGACCGUGUGUGCAGUGCAUGCAUAGAUGGGAAACAACAUCAAUCAAAACAUCCACCCAAGAACAUUGUAUCCACUUCGAGGCCAUUAGAGCUCCUUCAUGUGGAUCUGUUUGGGCCUCCUUCAUGGGAAAGUCUUGGAGGGAAAAAGUAUGUCCUAGUCAUUGUUGAUGAUUACUCAAGAUAUACAUGGGUGUUCUUUCUCAAGUCCAAGGACGAGACGAAGAUCACCUUCAUUGAUUUUGCCAAACAAGCCCAGCUGAAGUUUGACAAGGACAUCAAGGCAGUAAGAAGUGAUAAUGGCUCUGAGUUCAAGAACUACACCCUAGAAGAAUUUCUUAGUGAUGAGGGAAUUGAACAUCAGUACUCCGCACAUUACACCCCUAAAAAAAUGGUGUGGCAGAGAGGAAGAACCGGACACUUGUGGAAAUGGCAAAGUCCAUGUUAGACGAAUACAAGUCACCACAUAGUUUUUGGGCAGAGGCCGUCAACACAGCAUGUCAUGCAUCAAACCGGCUCUUCCUUCGAUCAAUAUUGGAGAAGACUCCAUAUGAGGUCCUAACUGGGAACAAGCCCAAUGUUAAGUACUUUCGUGUGUUUGGAUGCAAAUGUUUCAUCCUCAACAAACGGGAACGGUUAGGAAAAUUUCAAUCCAAAACAACUGAAGGGACUUUUGUUGGCUAUGGGUCAAACUCUCACGCCUACAGAGUCUACAACAAAUCCACUGGAUGUGUUAUAGAAACCUGUGACGUGACGUUUGAUGAAUUUAACCGCUCCCAUGGGGAGCAAGUUGAUCUAAAUGAUGCAGGUGAAGAAGACUCCCCACAAGAUAUCUUAAACAUGGGUGUGGGUGCACUUCUUCCCAUGGAACACAGACCACAUGAUAAUGAUGAAGAUGAUGAGAGUAUUUCUCAUCCUCAAGACAGUUCACUGCCCGUACCUCCACAAGAUACUAGCACACACAUCAUGCCAGUUGUUGAGGAUCAAGUGGGAGAACAUGUCUCUCACCCUGAUCACACUCAAGAACAAGUUGAUCUUCAAGAGGUAGACCAAAGUAUGGGUAUGUUUGAUGAUGAACCUCAACAGGUGCAACGUGAAGAGGAAUAUCUUCCUCCGCACAUAAAUGAUCCAUAUGUUGAGGACGUUGAUGAUGGAAACAAAGUCGAACCUCGUGAAACCUUGACCUCCAUCAUGCCACGUGUGGCCGGUCGUGUUGAUAUUGAUCAAAUCCUCACCGGCGUGUCGGAAGGUAGAGUGACUCGUAAACAAUUAACAAACUUUGGUGCUCACUUUUCAUUUGUCUCUAGUACCGUGCCACACAGGGUUCAGGAUGCAUUGUGUGACAAUGACUGGCUCCUUGCUAUGCAAGAGGAGUUAAACAGUUUUACACGCAACGAAGUAUGGUCAUUGGUAGAACGACCAACUGAGGAACAUAAUGUCAUUGGAACUAAAUGGAUUUUCAAGAACAAGGAAGAUGAGAACGGGACUGUCCUACGCAACAAGGCAAGGUUAGUAGCACAGGGGUACUCCCAAGUUGAAGGUUUGCACUUUGGUGAAACUUUCGCCCCUGUUGCUCGUCUUGAGUCCAUUCGCAUUUUAUUGGCCUAUGUUGCUUUCAAUGGUUUUACUUUGCAUCAAAUGGAUGUGAAAAGUGCUUUUCUUAACGGUCCUCUACAAGAAGAGGUAUAUGUAUCACAACCACCUGGGUUUGUCGACCCUCAUCACAAAGACCAUGUAUAUAAACUUCACAAGGCUCUGUAUGGCCUCAAACAAGCACCACGUGCUUGGUACGAUCAUCUUAAGAAGUUCCUACUCGAUGAUGGCUUUGUGGUGGGGGUGAUCGAUCCCACUCUUUUUACUAAGAGGGAAAAUGGUGAUUUGAUCUUAUGCCAAAUCUAUGUAGAUGACAUCAUCUUUGAUUCUCCUAACAUCCAUUUGUGCAAGAAGUUUGCGGCUUCCAUGACCAAGACCUUUGAGAUGUCACUCAACACGGACUUGAAGUUCUUUCUUGGUUUCCAAAUACAACAAUUUCAAGAAGGGAUUUUCUUGUCUCAAACUAAGUACCUCAAGGACAUUCUUGAAAAAUUUGAUAUGACAAAUGCUAAACCAAUGAAGACACCCAUGGUCACUGAUGUAGUUCUAAAUGAAGACACAAACGGUAUUCCUUUUGACCCAUCUACCUACCGCUCCAUUAUUGGUUCACUACUUUAUCUUUGCGCAUCUAGACCGGACAUCAUGUUAAGUGUAGGCAUAUGUGCUAGAUUUCAAGCUUCCCCUAGGGAAAGCCAUCACAUGGCGGUUAAGCAUAUUCUUAGAUACCUUGUUCACACCCCAAAGUUAGGCUUAUGGUACCCUAAGGAUGCAAAGUUUGAUCUUAUUGGGUAUUCCGAUGUGGAUUGGGCCGGUGAUAAAGUGGGACGGAAAUCCACUUCCGGUGCAUGUCAGUUUCUUGGACGCUCCUUGGUAAGUUGGUCCUCAAAAAAGCAGAACUCUGUUUCUCUCUCCACGGCCGAGGCCGAAUAUAUUGCAGCUGCAAGCUGUGAAACCCAAUUGCUAUGGAUGAGGCAAACACUAAAGGAUUAUGGUAUCACGUAUCGACACGUUCCUCUUCUCUGUGAUAAUGAAAGUGCCAUAAAGAUCUCCGAGAACCCCAUUGAUCACCCUCGCACCAAACAUAUUGAUAUUAGGUAUCAUUUCUUGAGAGACCAUGUGCAAAAGGGUGACAUUGAUAUUACCCAUGUGGGUACCGACAUGUAGUUAGCCGACAUUUUCACCAAGCCACUUAGUGUUGCUAGGUUCAGUCAACUUAGGCGUGAACUUGGUAUCUUGGAGCUUGACAACAUAUCUUGAAACCUUGCACACAUACACACACUCACAUUAUGUUUGUGUCUUGAUGUGGGCAUGCAUUUAGAGGGAGUGAGUCUUAAUUUUCUGUUUUUAAGCUUACAAAGUACGCAUAAAUCAAUUUCUGUCUCCAAGUAGUAUAUGUUAUGCUUGUAGGCAACUAUGUUUGUAUUUUUUUUGUGAGAAACCAUGCAAGUCAUCAUCUAAUCAUCAAACAAAAUCCAGCAUCAGUCUCUGCCUCCUCCUCUUUCUCGGACGUCCGACAUGUCUCGAAAGUCCGACGGGAAAUCCCUUCCGGUCGUCCGACCAGUGUCGGUCGUCCGACGCCACAAUCACCUCCAGACGUCCGACGCCUGUCGGACGUCCGACGCCUCGGGCCUAUAAAUAGUUGGGCGCGGGGCUGGGCUUUUGCCCUAACCCUCGCGCGCCCCUUUUCUUCCCUACCGCCGCCGCCGCCAGCUCGAGGAGCUCUCGCCUGCGCCACCAGACUCGAGAUCGGGCCGAUCUCCUCCGCGGAUCCUCCUCUUCUUCCUUCCUUUCCUUCGCGGGAUCCGUCUACAGGUCGCUCCUCUGUUCCUUUCGCGUUUGUUUUGGUUCUCUCCCAUGAGUCUCCAUGUUCGUUCCUUAUUUGGGAUUUUUCAUCCGCGUAGAAUUUUGUGCUCCAUGGGCAAGACCAAGCACGCCGCUCGGAAGACCGUGGCUGGCUCAUCAUCUCGCGCCCCUACUAGCACAGGAUCGGACUCGGAUGAGCCACGUCGUCCCUUCAAACAGACUGCCCGACGUUCUCUGGCCCGGCGUUCUCCGUCUCCACACCUCCCCUCGUCGUCUGAUGGUGAUGACCCCGACUUCGAGGAGGAGCUUGCCGCCGAGGACCUUGCUGACCAGCACGCCGAUCGGAGGUCCAAGCCAAAGCCCGGGACUCGCAGGGCAUCCUACAUGCCACCACCUCCUCCUGCCCAGCCCGCAGGUGAAGCUCGUCGCAUCUCACUAGAACCUCCUGCUACUUUAGGUCGUGCAAUCACGAACUUCACCACACUUGGCGCGGCUUCAUACCUCACUUUCCGUCGCGACCUUGAUCCAUACGUUGUCGUACGUGACUCUACGGACUCACGUUUCCGCACACACGUCUAGGCGGACAUUUUUACCACAGUCAUAGUUCCUAAGGGUUUAUCUGUUCAUCUCUAUAUUGAUGUUGAGCAUAUUCACAUGCACCCGGCGAAAUAUCCGGGUGCCAUUGAGCUUAUUGAGGCAUCGGGGCUUGCCGCCCCGUUUGCUUUUCAUCGCGACUUUAAUGCUGCUGCCAUUCACCAGUUCUAUGCCACAUGCUACUUUGGUCCAAACCACACUGUCAGCUGGAUCACCUCUGACGUUCGCUUCACAGCUUCUUAUGAUACAUUUGUUGCCGCACUUAGUUUCCCCAACUCCGGCUUCAAAAUACAUAGGGAUGAUCCUAACCAUGUGCCUAAGUCCAUUGACGCAUGUGGGUAUCUUCUCAAACCACUAAGUGAGCUUGAUGCGGAUGAACGCAUGAAGGACCUUAACCAAGUAUCCAUCUGGCGCUCACCUUACUUCAUCAUUUUUCAGUGUCUCAUCCGCACCAUCUAUCCCAAGAUGGGUGAUAAGGGUUCUUGCAGUGGCUAUUGUACUGACAUCAUGUCUCACUUGUUCGAGCACCCCAAGGGCAAAAUCAAUGUGCCUCAUUUUCUAUGGCAUGAGAUUCGGCUUGCUAGCUUUUAGUACAAGCGAGCCUUUCCUCAUGCCCCCUUCAUCCAGGCUCUUAUUAACCAUGUUGUUGAUUUCUCUGUGGCUGUCACUCACACACAUCACAAGUGGGUCAUUCCCGCUCACAUGGCGGAUAACUAUGCUCCCAAGAAAACCCCCUCAUCCUCCACAUCCACUCGCCGCACUGCUGCCCGGGCUGCCACCCCCUCAUCUAGCUCCGCUCCUCUCGGUUGCAUUGCCAAAUUCCUUGGCAAGGCACAUUCUGCUUUGAUGAAGGCCGUCUCUUUCCAGUGUGGUCAAACUCAUGAUGUGGUUUCUCACUUAGUCUCCUCCAAGAAUGCCCUCAAGGCUCGUCUGAGAGCCUCGAGCGCUCUUGAUGUGAGUGAUGAUGAGGCCCCUCCUGUUGCUCCUCCUACUGAUUUUGGCUUCCUAUCUGGUCCUGAGUGGGCUGAUUUCCUUGACGAGGCUGGUGGCAGUGGCUUGCCUGAUGAUGCUGAUGAGCUCUGAGCGUGGUUGGUGCUGUUGGUGUCUCCCUUUUUGGUACUUGGUGCCAAAGGGGGGGGGUAAUGUAUCGUAGUUUUUAGUCUUUGGAGAUUUAAUGUAAUGGAUAAACUCAUGUAUGGCUACUUAUGAAUGAUUGUGAUUUGCUAUGGAUUGCUAUGAUAUCAUCAUAGACUAUUAUGUUUUGCUCCACUACUUCUAUGAUGAUCUAUUGUCUUUCUAUGAUGAUCUAUUAUCUUUACAUGUUGAUCCAUUGGAGCUUCGAUAUUUUAUCAUGCAUAUACUAAGGGGGACUUCGUACUAAAAAUAUCUCCUAGGCUAUAAUGUAUGUUAAAUGUUUUUGAGACCUAUGUAUAUGUUGUCAUCAACUACCAAAAAGGGGGAGAUUGAAAGUGCAUGCUAUGCCCCUAAUCGACUUUUGGUGUUAAUGAUAACACAUACAUAGGAAACUAAUCCUAUUUGUUGAGUAUAUCUCAGGAUGGCAAGUACUUUAGUAGAUUGAUAAUUAUGUGCCAAAGGUCGUCUGAGAAGAUCGGGAUUUAUAUUUCGAGAAGGCUCGGGAUUAAGAAAAGAUGAUGUAGACUAUUCUUUUGAGUUUACUGAUAUUGAGUAUAGGGAUCCCGCACUAUUAAGAGGGGAUCACAGGUUUUGCGAUGAACUUGCUCAUACCACAUCUUCACUGUCAUACCCAAUACCACAUAUUCUCCACUCUAUUCUUAUCUCUCAACAGGUCUAUUGUCUUGGACUUCCGGCUCCCUCCGGACGUCCGAGGGCCGGACGACCGGCAGGCUUCGGAAAUCCGGAGCCCUCCACCAGAAGUAUUUGAGUCAUAUAACUCGGAUUUCCGGCUCCCUCCGGACAUCCGAGGGUCGGACGUCCGACCAGCCUCGGAAAUCCGGAGCCCUCCACCAGAAGUAUUUGAGUCAUAUAACUCGGAUUUCCGGCUCCCUCCGGACAUCCGAGGGUCGGACGUCCGACCAGCCUCGGAAAUCCGGAGCCCUGCACCAGUAGAACAUGAGUUCUUUAACUCGGAUUUCCGGCUCCCUUCGGAGGUCCGAGGGCCGGACGUCCGACCCCCUUCGGAAAUCCGGAACCUACCACCAGAAGAAGUUGAGUCGAAUAACUCGUAUUUGCGGUCCUCUCCGGACGUACGGUNNNNNNNNNNNNNNNNNNNNNNNNNNNNNNNNNNNNNNNNNNNNNNNNNNNNNNNNNNNNNNNNNNNNNNNNNNNNNNNNNNNNNNNNNNNNNNNNNNNNANNNNNNNNNNNNNNNNNNNNNNNNNNNNNNNNNNNNNNNNNNNNNNNNNNNNNNNNNNNNNNNNNNAGGAAUGCCUGUCCUGAAACGACGGGUGAGUUGCAGGAAAACGAAAAUGGCUUCGGAAAAAGCGGGACGCUAUUGAUCGUUUGAUCAACACACGAUCGAACGACCACGGAGCCAACGGACGGCCGCGCUCGAUCGACCGGUAGAAGAUAAUAUUUCUCAACUAUUAUACAUGUUAGCUAUAAGAUGGAUUAUAGAUAACAUAACAACGUCAUAUAGCCAGCAGCUGGUGUUGGGGGAAUGUACCAUGGGAAACAAAAAAAAUUCCUACGCACACGCAAUACCUAUCCAUGGUGAUGAUCAUCUAUGAGAGGGGAGAGUGAAUCUACAUACCCUUGUAAAUCGCUAAGUGGAAGCGUAUAUAACGCGGUUGAUGUAGUGGAACAUCUUCGCGAUUCAAAUCGCAGCCCGUCACGCGAUCUCAUCAUGAUCCGUCCCACGAUCAAUCCCGAUCUGGUGCCGAACGGACGACACCUCCGCGUUCAACACACGUACAGCUCGAUGACGAUCCCCGCCUUCUUGAUCUAGCAAGAGGCAUGGAGAGGUAGAUGAGUUCUCCAGCACGGCGGUGUGGUUGUGGUGGUGGUGAACUAAUCCAGCAGGGCUUCACCUAAGCACCGCCGAACUAGACUAGAGGAGAAACCCAUCUAGAUGAAGUAGAGGGAGCACGUGGCAAUUAGGGUUAGGGCUGCCUCUAAUUCCUCUAGUAUAUAUAGGAGGGAGGGAGGGGAGGAGGCAACCUCAAACCCUCAAGGUUUGGCCAAAAUUGGAGGUGGAGGAGUCCUAAUCCAAUCCUACUAUGAGUAGGAUUCCUCCUCUCCACUUGGAAACCCUUUCCUCCUCUUCCACCUUUGGGUUUUUUCCUUCUCAAACCUCAUGGGCCUUAGUGGGGGCUUAGGCCAGCCCACUAGAGGCUGGUUUGUCUCCUCCCACAGGCCAUGAGGCCCCUCGGGGUGUGACACCCCUCCUGAUGGUCCCCGGUGCCCUCGAGGCACUCCCGGUACACUACCGAAGUACCCAAAACUUUUCCGGUGAUCAAAACAGGACUUCCUACAUACCAAUCUUUACCUAUGGACCAUUCUGGAGCUCAUCGCGACGUCCGGGAUCUCGUCCGUACUCCGAACAACUUUCGGUUACCAACACACAUAACUCAAUAAUAUCGAAACGUCCACCGAACCUUAAGUGUGUAGACCCUACGGGUUUGAGAACUAUGCAGUCAUGACCUGAGACACUCCCCGGUCAAUAACCAAUAGCGGAGCCUGGAUGCCCAUAUUGGCUCCUACAUAUUCUACGGAAAUCUUUAUCGGUUGAACCUCUAUGUCAAGGAUUCAGUUAAUCCCGUAUGUUGUUCCCUUUGUCCUUCGGUAUGUUACUUGCCCGAGAUUCGAUCGUCAGUAUCUCCAUACCUAGUUCAAUCUCGUUACCGGCAAGUCUCUUUACUCGUUCCGUAAUACAAGAUCCUGUGGCUAACUCUUUAGUCACAUUGCUUGCAGGCUUGUUUGUGAUGUUGUAUAACCGAGUGGGUCCCGAGACACCUCUCCGUCACACGGAGUGACAAAUCCCAGUCUUGAUCCAUGCCAACCCAACAUACACCUUCGGAGAUACCUGUAGAGCACCUUUAUAGUCAUCCAGUAACGUUGCGACGUUUGAUACACACAAGAUAUUCCUCCGGUGUCCGGGAGUUGCAUGAUCUCAUGGUCAUAGGAACAGAUAUAUUGACAUGCAGAAAACAGUAGCAACAAACUGACACGAUCAUAUGCCACGUUUAUAGUUUGAGUCUUGUCCAUCACACCAUUCUCCUAAUGAUGUGAACCCGAUUUCAAGUGACAACACUUGUCUAUGGCUAGAAAACCUUGACCAUCUUUGAUCAACGAGCUAGUCAACUAGAGACUCAUUAGGGACAGUGUGUUGUGUAUGUAUCCACACAUGUAUUUGAGUUUCCAAUCAAUACAAUUCUAGUAUGGAUAAUAAACAAUUAUUAUGAAUAAAAAUAUAUAAUAAUAACCAAUUUAUUAUUGCCUCUGGGGCAUAUUUCCAACAGCUGGCUAUAUUAUGAACCAUGCUCUUAUCUCGCUACAGUCCGGCCCGAGAGCUAGCUCUGUCUCACCAACCCACGUCAAUCCUCUAGCAACCCUAGCCGAGCUGCCGCCUACGCGUCGGCGCGCCACGACGGCGCCGCCCUCGCAUCCUAGCCUUGUCUCCGUCCGUCGCCUCUUGCAAUUGCCGCGCAGCUAUCCCCUACAUAUGAUUCGGAUAAGUGUCAUAGACAUUUUGCAAUACUCACAAUUCCUACAACUGUCCAACAACAGGGUAAAUGAACAUUUUGCUUCUGAUUCUCAGGAAUCCACAACAACAACUGAUUCUCAGAAUUUGUAGCCCAAACAAUAGUGUUGUUAAUCAUUUUGACCUGAGUGCAAAUUGUUCAUUGAGCCGAUCACAUGCAGCUACAUAUUUCUGGGAUAACUGUCCAUAAUAGUGCAAGUGAUUGCCAAUACGGAGUACUGUACUUGUUAAGUGUAAUUGUUAUGUUGAAAUUUGUUGGUUUGCUGGACUUAAAUUGCAUGCAGUGUAGAUCUGGAGUAUUAUUAUUAUCCCAACUGCUGCGCGACGCGCGCGCGCGAUCCGGGCGUCUCGAGCGGCCGGCCGUGGACAGAUAAGCCCGACCACGCCAAGGAUAUUUUGGGACGACGCCGUCCACUCAUCAGGUCCUCCCGUCCAUUCGCCUCUGCCCACAGUCGAGCGGGGAGCGAGAGGGUCGUGCGCCGACGAGAAGAACCACUACAUCGAUUGGGAGAAGGUAAGACCGCGCCCUAGGUGUAUUUUUCGUCUCGCGAACAGGGAGGAGGGAGGGACAUGGUGUGAUGUCGCCGGAAUCGCAGGAAGGGCGAGGCCGGGGUGGCCGGACUAGCGGGGUGGGUAGGGAAAUCUACAGGCAGGGGGGGUUCGCNNNNNNNNNNNNNNNNNNNNNNNNNNNNNNNNNNNNNNNNNNNNNNNNNNNNNNNNNNNNNNNNNNNNNNNNNNNNNNNNNNNNNNNNNNNNNNNNNNNNAGAAUUCAGGGCUGGCUUCACAUAGCAGUACCCAAGGUGAUGGGGGUUGUCCUGAAGUACUAGCUGGUGUGAAAUUACCUCGUAUGCUUGAUCUUCUGUCAGAAGCCUCUCCUCCUUGUAACUCUCAAUUUUCCAGCAGAACUGCUAACAUCUGAGCCAUUUUGUUCCGCUUGAGGUUGGUGUCUGCCUGCACCUUUCCCAGAUCUUCUCUGGCACUUGCUUAUGAUUUAGUGUUAUGACCGGUACACAAUAUAGCCGGAGGGGGCCCACUGGCGCAGGCAGUUAAAAGGCCUGGCCCAACUAUCUUAUCGUUAUUAGGGGCUUAGCCCAGUUUAUCAUAUUUGUUAGCAUAGGGAGAUUAUACAUACUCAUGUAAGGACUCAGUUUUAAUCAAGCAGAAGCAAUCAUAUUUGCUCGACUUCCUUCAGGAGCCGAGACCCUAAACCCUAGCCGCCGUCUCUCUCUCUCUCUCGCGACCACGGCGCCCCAGCGCCGCCGGCCGCGCCCUCCACCUGGCCAACCCUCCUUCCACCCUUACAACCUGAGAGCUCGCCCUGGUAGGGACUCGGUUCCUAUCAAUCUGGUAUCAGCUAGCUCAGGUCCGAUCAUGUCUACUCCUCCGCCCACCCCUAGCCUGCCGCUGCCGGUCACCCCUACAGCGGGCGUGCCGACCCCGUCCGGGUAGCUCUUCGCUCCCGCUUGGACGCCGCCGGGUUCUGCCGCUGUCGUCUUAAACCCCGGCGGAGAUGACGGCUACGCUCCAGGAGCUAGGGCAGGCGGUUGCUGGCAUCCGCACCUUCCUCGCCGGGCCCUGUGCCCCGAUGCCGGACGCCGCCUUCAUCCCCACCCUGACACAGCCGCCGCAGCUGCUGUCACCACCACCUCCGCCCCUCUCAGUCGCCCCGCACUCCCAGGGACUGCUGGGGGCGGCCUCGACUCAGGGCAGCCCGACCCCGAUCUCGGGGGUGCCCAUCCAGCACGAUCGGUUUCCCUGUCGCCGUCUCCGUUGCCCGCCUGGCUAGCGGCACCCGUCUACAUGAAGGCCCCGGGCAAACCGUACCUGCCGCCGCCACCGACUUGGCACCCGGCCAGGCAGUUCGACGAGCCCCCGGGUUCCGGGGGUCCCUACGCGAGCGUGGACGGGCCCCCUGUUCCACGGUGGUACUCUGCAGCCCGCCUACCCGGCUCCGUCGUCCUCGCUGCUCCGCGCAGAUGAGACACAUACCGCCGUGGGCCACGCCCAGACACCUCCGCGCUUCUGCAAGCUGGAGUUCGCCACCUACUACGGCGUCGCGGACCCCCUGAAUUGGCUCAACCAAUGCGACCAAUUUUUCAGGGGGCAGGGCACCCUCGCGUCCGACCGCACCUGGAUCGCCUCAUAUCAUCUUUGCGGCGCCGCGCAGACGUGGUACUACGCUCUCGAACAGGACAAGGGCGGGAUGCCACCAUGAAAACGAUUCCGCGAUCUCAGCCUCUUGCGUUUCGCCCCCCCCCCCACAUGCGCGGGCCACGAGACCACCAGACGGCCAUGUACUACGCCCGCGCAUUCGAGCGCCGUGCAGUGGCCAUGCAGCAAGCGUCACCGUCCCGGGCCACUCGGCCGCCACCUCGGGCGACAGUUUCCGUACCGGGCCGACCUCCCCCGGCUCCCGCGACGGCCCCCGUCACGGCCGAGGCGCGCCCGUUCCGUCGGCCGAGCAACUCGAGCGUCGUCGCCAAGGGUUAUGCUAGAACUGCGACGAGCCCUAUGUCGGGCCGCGUCUGCCCGCGCCACUUCUACUUGGAAGCGGCAGACUACAUCGAGGAGGACAUCGUCGUCGCCGGGCUCGGCGACCUGCCCGACCCUGUCGAUGCGGCGGUCGCGCCGGCACCCGCUCCUACGACCGCCCUCGUGGUUUCCCUCCAUGCCCUCGCGGGUAUACGGGCGGAAAAGACUAUGCUGCUGCCGGUGACGAUCAACGGGGAGCGCCUCCUAGCCCUCGUGGAUACGGGCUCCACCAAUAACUUCCUGCCCGAGUCAACCAUGCGUCACUUGGCGCUUCAGUCGACGGGCAGGGAGCAGCUCCGAGUUAUCGUGGCUAACGGUGAUCCCCAUCGUCAUCGGCGAUGAGCACUUCGCCACCACGUGCGUCGGCACUGACUUCUGUUGUUUCGACUUCAUCCUCGGCGUCGACUCUUUGCGGACCCUGGGUCCCAUCCUAUGGGACUACGACGCCAUGUCGAUGACCUUCUGGCGCCUGGGUCGCUGCGUCCGAUGGAGGGGCGUAGGUGGCGCUGCACCAGUGGCGCCCCAGCCACAGCUGACAGCGGCCCCCGCUGAGCCCAAGCCGCCCCUGUUGGCUCGUCUUUUGUAGCAGCACAACGACCUCUUCGACGAGUCGCAGGGCCUGCCGCCCGCACGGGCCUAUGACCACCGCAUUCACCUACUUUCAGGCAUAACCCCCGUCGCCGUACGGCCAUACUGCUAUCCACAACUUCAGAAGGAUGAGCUGGAGCGGCAGUGCGCGGUCAUGCUUGCGUUGGGCAUCAUCCGGAUUUCAACCUCGCCGUUCUCGGCGCCGGUGCUCCUCGUUCGCAAGACCGAAGGCUCGUGGCGUUUCUGCAUCAACUAUCAUGCUCUUAAUGCCAAGACGCCCAAGGACAAAUUUCCCAUACCUGUCGUGGAUGAACUCCUGGACGAGCUACAUGGGGCACGCUUCUUCACUAAGCUCGACCUUCGUUCAGGCUACCACUAGGUUCGGAUGCACCCGGACGACGUCGCGAAGACGACAUUUCGCACCCAUCACGGCCACUUCGAGUUCUUGGUGAUGCCUUUUGGCCUCUCCAAUGCCCCGACGACAUUUCAGGCCUUGAUGAACGACGUCCUCCGCCCCUACUUGCGGCGGUUUGUGCUCGUGUUCUUCGACGACAUUCUCAUCUACAACUCCUCAUAGGCAUAGCACUUGCAGCACGUCGCCAUCAUCUUCAAGGAGCUUCGGGCGCACCAGCUGCACCUCAAGCGCUCGAAGUGCUCGUUUGGCACGUCGUCCGUCACCUAUCUCGGCCACGUCAUCUCGGCGGAGGGAGUCGCCAUGGAUGCGCACAAGGUCGCGGCUGUCGGGGCCUGGCCAACGCCGCACUCGCCACGGGCCCUCCAUGGUUUCCUGGGCCUCGCAAACUAAUACCGGAAGUUCAUCCGGGAAUUCGGCCUUACCGCCGCACCGCUCACUCGCUUGUUGCGCCGCGACGCCUUCGCCUGGGAUAGUGAGGCGGCCGACGCUUUCCAGUCACUUAAGCAGGCUCUCACCACAGGACCGGUCCUCCAGAUGCCGGACUUCGAUCAACAGUUCAUGGUCGAUUGCGAUGCCUUGAGAGUGGGGUUCGGCGCCGCCCUUCACCAGGGCGCCGGGCCGCUUGCGUUUGUCAGCAGGUCGUUCGCCGCGCGUCAUCACAAGCUCGCGGCCUACGAGCGGGAGCUCAUUGGCUUGGUACAGGCUACACGGCACUGGCGGCCUUAUCUCUGGGGGCGCCACUUCCUGAUUCGCACGGAUCACUACAACCUCAAGUUUCUGUUGGACCAACGCUUAUCCACCGUUCCGGAGCACCAGUGGAUCAACAAGCUCUUCAAGUUCGAUUUCACGAUUGAGUACUGGCCGGGCCGCCUCAACAUCAUGGCGGACGCCUUGUCCCACCGCGACACCGACAACACCACGGGCGUCGCCCUCUGCAUCAGCUCUGGGCCAUUGUUCGCCUUCCUCGACGACAUCCGCCGCGCCACCACGACGGCCGCAGAUGCGCAGCUCCUUCGGCAACGCCUCGCUGAGGGCGACUUGCCGGCGCCGUGGCGCCUGGACGACGGGUUACUCCUGGACGGGCGACGCCUCUUCGUGCCGGAUCACGACGAUCUCCGUCACCAGGCCAUUCGGCUGGCGCACUCGGCCGACCACGAGGGUGUGCAGAGGACUCUCCACCGCCUCCGCGCCGAUUUCUACAUCCCGGGGGACAGUGCGCGGUGUGUGGCGCCUCUUGAUCCAGUGGCAAGGCCUUCCGGAGGACACUACUUGGGAGCCCCUUGACGAGUUCCGCAAGCAAUUCCCCGACUUCCAGCUCGAGGACAAGCUGUUUGCGCAGGCAGGGAGAGAUGUUAUGACCGGUAUACAAUAUAGCCGGAGGAGGCCCACUGGCGCAGGCAGUUAAAAGGCCUGGCCCAACUAUCUUAUCGUUAUUAGGGGCUUAACCCAGCUUAUCAUAUUUGUUAGCAUAGGGAGAUUAUACAUACUCAUGUAAGGACUCAGUUUUAAUCAAGCAGAAGCAAUCAUAUUUGCUCGGCUUCCUUCAGGAGCCGAGACCCUAAACCCUAGUAGUCGUCUCUCUCUCGCGCAAGCGACCACGGCGCCCCAGUGCCGCCAGCCGCGCCCUCCACCUCGCCAACCCUCCUUCCACCCCUACAACCUGAGAGCUCGCCCUGGUAAGGACUCGGUUCCUAUCAAUUUGGUAUCAGCUAGCUCGGGUCCGAUCAUGUCUACUCCUCCGCCCACCCCCAGCUUGCCGCUGCCGGUCACCACCAUGCCGAUGGCCACCACAGCGGUCGCGCCGACCCCGUCCGGGUCGCUCUCCACUCCCGCGUGGACGCCGCCGGGUUCUGCCGUUGUCAUCUUAAACACCAGCAGAGAUGACGGCUGCGCUCCAGGAGCUAGGGCAGGCAGUUGCUGGCAUCCGCACCUUCCUCGCCGGGCCCUACGCCACGAUGUCGACCGCCGCCUUCGUCCCCACCCUGACGCAGUCGACGCAGCUGCUGUCACCACAUCCUCCACUCCUCUCAGUCGCCCCGCACUCCCAGGGACUAAUGGGGGCGGCCUCGACUCAGGGCAGCCCAACGCCGAUCCCGGGGGUGCCCAUCCAGCAUGUUCGGUUUCCCCGUCGCCUUCUCCGUUGCCCGCUUGGCUAGCGACGCCCGUCUACAUGACGGCCCCGGGCCAACCGUACCUGCCGCCGCCACCGACUUCGCACCCGGCCAGGCAGUUCGACAGGCUCCCUACGCGAGCGUGGACGGGCCCCUGUUCCACGACGGUACCCUGCAGCCCGCCUACUCGGCUCCGUCGUCCUCGCUGCUCCGCGCAGAUGAGACACAUACCGUCGUGGGCCACGGCCAGCCACCUCCACACUUCUCCAAGCUGGAGUUCGCCACCUACGACAACGUCGCGGACCCCCUGAAUUGACUCAACCAAUGCGACCAAUUUUUCAGGGGGCAGCGCACCCUCGCGUCCGACCGCACCUGGAUCGCCUCAUAUCAUCUUCGCGGCGCCACGCAGACGUGGUACUACGCUCUCGAACAGGACGAGGGUGGGAUGCCACCAUGGGAACGAUUCCGCGAUCUGAGCCUCAUGCGUUUCGCCCCCCCCCCCCCCUUCCCCAUCCAGUGGCAAGGCCUUCCGGGGGGGGGCGCUCCUUGGGAUCCCCUUGACGNNNNNCUGGCCCUCAUGCGUUUCCCCCCCCCCCCCCCAUUCCGCGAUCCAGUGGCAAGGCCUUCCGGAGGAGGACGCUACUUGGGAUCCCCUUGACGAGUUCCGCAAGCAAUUCCCCGACUUCCAGCUCGAGGACGAGUUGUUUGCGCAGGCGGGGAGAGAUGUUAUGACUGGUAUACAAUAUAGCCGGAGGGGGCCCACUGGCGCAUGCAGUUAAAAGGCCUGGCCCAACUAUCUUAUCUUUGGGCAGUUAAAAGGCCUGGCCCAACUAUCUUAUCGUUAUUAGGGGCUUAGGCCGGUUUAUCAUAUUUGUUAGCAUAGGGAGAUUAUAUAUACUCAUGUAAGGACUCAGUUUUAGUCAAGCAAAAGCAAUCAUAUUUGCUCGACUUCCUUCAGGAGCCGAGACCCUAAACCCUAGCCGUCGUCUCUCUCUCGCGCGACCACGACGCCCCAGCGCUGCCGGCCACGCCCUCCACCUCGCCAACCCUCCUUCCACCCCUACAACCCGAGAGCUCGCCCUGGUAGGGACUCGAUUCCUAUCACCCAACUCAAUUCUAAUCCAAAGCAAACAGAGAGACUAUAACAGUAACGAUGCUUCAUUUGUUACUUUUACAAGAAUAUUCAAAGCAAACAGAAAGUAUAGCAGAUCCAUUAACUCUUAUGUCUUUGUUUGUAUUGGUAUCUCAGGUGAUGAACCAAGAACGAAGACUCCCAUCACUGACGAUGAAAACACCCUUGGUGCUCCAAGAGCGACCCACACCGCUCCUGCUUCGGGUGCCGUGGUAACGAAAUUGCUAUCAUUCUUGAAACCCCUAUUCUCUAUUAUCUGGUGAUUGGCUUAUGGAAAGCAAUUUUGUGAUGCUUCAUGUAUUCCAGGUUCUACCUUCUGCCAUGGAUUCAUUCAAUGAUAUCAUAGCUCAGGCAGAUGGGAAGAUGAUCCUGUUAUUCUUGGACUAUGACGGUACCCUUGCACCAACCGUAAACAAUCCUUCGAUGGCGUUUAUGCCCACAGAGGCAAGUAUACUUAAACACACCAAAGACUGACAUGAUUAUUGAUGUGUCUAACUGAUUAUUUCUUAAUAUAAAAUAACCAGAUUCGCCGAGCCGUCCAAGCCGCUGCGGAGUACUUCCCCACUUCGAUCCUGACCGGGAGAUCCGUUCCCAAGGUAUUAUCAUAUAUUCAUAGUGCCCAAUAUUGUUAUUUGAGUGAUUUAUAAAUUUGUGAUCACCUAACGUAAUGUUUAUUUUUUUCUAUUCGUUUUCAGGCAAUAAACUUCGUGAAACUCGACAAUCUCCAUUAUGCCGGAAGUCAUGGCUUGGACAUCAAAAUCGUAAGUCUCUUCAAUUGGUGCUACCCCAACUCUAUCUCGUAUAUCAUCAUUCGAGACCCGGUCCUUCCUUGUGUGGCCAUACAUCCAACUCAACAUGCGCAUCUCUGCCACACCUAAUUGUUGAACAUGUCGCCUUCUAGUCGGCCAACACUCAGCGCCAUACAACAUUGCAGGCCGAAUUGUCGUCCUAUAGAACCUGCCGUUUAGCUUAUGUGGUACUUUCUUGUCACAGAGAACACCAGAAGCUUGGCGUCACUUCAUUCAUUCAGCUUUGAUUCGAUGUUUUACAUCUUCAACGAUACCCCUAUCCUUCUGUAACAUUGACCCCAAAUAUCGAAAGGUAUCCUUUUGAGGCACCUCCUCCACCCCGUGCCUAGUAUUAGUGAAACUGCACCUCAUAUACUCGAGUUUAGUUCUACUAGUCUAAAAUAUUUCGAUUACAAGGUUUGUCUCCAUAGCUCUAACUUCCUAUUAACCCCCGUCUGACUAUCAUCGACUAGCACCACAUCAUCCGCAAAGAGUAUACACCAUAGGAUAUCUCCUUGUAUAUCCCUUGUGACCCCAUCCAUCACGAAAGCAAGGUGCAGUCCUAUUUUAAUCGGAAAGUCAUCAGUGUCGCCAUCACUUGUUCGAACACUUGUCACAACAUCAUCGUACAUGUCCUUAAUGAGGGUAAUGUAUUUUGCUGGGACUUUGUGUUUCUUCAAGGCCCACCACAUGACAUUCCACGAUAUCUUAUCGUAGGCCUUCUCCAAGUCAAUGAACAUCAUAUGCAGGUCCUUCUUUUGCUCCUUGUAUCUCUCACUAAGUUGUCGUACCAAGAAAAUGGCUCCAUGGUCAACCUCUCAGGCAUGAAACAAAACCAAUUUUGGGUCAUGCUUGUCAUUCUUCCUAAGCGGCGCUUAAUGAUUCUCUCCCAUAGCUUCAUUGUAUGGCUCAUCAACUUAAUUUCAUGGUAAGUAGUACAACCGUGAACAUCCCCCUUGUUCUUGAAGAUUGGUACUAAUAUACUCCAUCUUCAUUCUUCUGGCAUCUUGCAUGCCCGAAAAAUGAGAUUGAAAAGCUUAGUUAGCCAUACUAUCGCAAUGUCUUCGAGGCAUCUCCACACCUUAACGGGGAUACAAUCAAGGCCCAUCACAUUGCCUUCUUCCAUCCUUUUAAAAGCCUCCUUGACCUCAGACUCCUGGAUUAGCCGCACAGAACGCCUGCUGGUAUCAUCAAAGGAGUCGUCCAGUUCAAUGGUAGAGCUCUCAUUCUCCCCAUUGAAUAAUUUCUCGAAGUACUCCCGCUAUCUAUGCUUAAUCUCCUUGUCCUUCAUCAGGAGUUGGUCUGCUCCGUCCUUGAUGCAUUUGACUUCGCCAACAUCCCUCGUCUUUCUCUCUCGGAUCUUGGCCAUCUUAUAGAUGUCCCUUUUGCCUUCCUUCGUGUCUAACCACUGGUAGAGGUCCUCAUACGCCUGACCCCUUGCUUCACUCACAACUUGCUUUGCGGUCUUCUUUGACACCUUGUACUUAUCUAUGUUAUCUGCACUCCUAUCCAGGUAAAGACGUCUAAAACAAUCUUUCUUCUCCUUAAUAGCCUUCUGGACAUCAUCAUUCCACCACUAGGUAUCUUUAGCUUUGCUUCUACUUCCCCUAGACACUCCAAACUCCUCUGAGGCCACCUUAUGAAUGCAAGUAGCCAUCUUCAUCCACAUAUUGUCUGUGUCACCUCCUUCCUCCCAAGGCCCCUCAUUAAUGACCCUCUCCUUGAACGCCUGAGCUACACCCCCUUGAGCUUCCACCACUUUAUUCUAGUGACUUUGGCACACUUAUCCCGCUGGACGCGAACCCGAAAGUGAAAGUCAGCCACCACAAGCUUAUGCUGAGGGACAAUACUCUCUUUAAGUAUCACCUUACAAUCCAGGCAAGCACGUCUGUCUUCUCUUCCUGAGAGGAUGAAAUCAAUUUGGCUAGAGUGUUGACCACUACUAAAAGUCACUAGAUGUGAUUCUCUCUUCUUAAAGAGGGUUUUAGCUACAAUCAUGUUGUAGGCUAGAGCAAAACUUAACACAUCUUCUCCUUCUUGAUUCCUGAUACCAUAACCAUAGCCAAAGCCCCCAUGCACCCCUUCAAAACCAGUGUUAGAUGUGCCAACGUGGCCAUUGAGGUCUCCUCCUAUGAAGAGCUUCUCGCCAAUAGGUACACUCCUAACCAUGUCCUCCAUGCCUUCCCAAAACUCCCUCUUGGUGUUCUCAUUGUGGCAUAUUUGCAGGGCAUAUGUACAUAUAACAUUGAGAACUAAGUCCCCAACUACGAGCUCGACCAGGAUAAUGCAGUCCUCACGCCUAUUGACGUCUAACAUUCCAUACUUGAGGCUCUUGUUGAUCAAGAUGCCUACCCCAUUUUUGUUUACAGCCGUCCCGUGUACCACAGCUUGAAACCGGUACCCUCCAUCGCCUUCGCCUUCUAUCCCCUCCAUUUGAUUUCUUGGAAGCAAAGGAUAUCAACACCUCUCCUCACCGCUGUAUCGAGCAGCUCUCGAAGCUUACCUGCCAGGGACCCUACGUUCCAGCUACCUAAGCGGAUCCUCCUAGGCUCGGCUAGCUUCUUUACCCAUCGCAAUCGUCAAGUCAAAUGCGAAGACCCUUGCUCAUUUUCCACUACACGCGGGCAUCGAUGUAGCGCAUCACUAAGGAUGCGAUGACCCGAUCCUUGCUCACUUGCCACCGUAUCCAGAUCAUGAUACAACACCCCACCAGGGGGUGAAAGCCCAACACUUGCCCGUUUGACACCACACCCGGGUUUCGAUACAACGCGUCACUCAGAGGGUUAUACCCAAACGAAUUUCUUUUAGGUUUUAUCUCCAUAACAUGGCUGAGUUUUGACGUUGGCUCGCCAGGCCUAUCACAACCCUCCUCCUUUACACGGGCUUGGGACCAGCUAUUUUGAGACAACAUAGGCGGAGUUCUAAUGAAUCUUAAACUCAUUGACAAAAAAGAGGAUAAAUAAUAAAGUCAGGGAAUAAAAGAGGAUUUGGGGAUAGAAGGACUUGAACCCUCACAACUUAUAAAGUCGACGGAUUUUCCUUUUACUAGAAAUUUCAUUGUUAUCAGUAUUGAUAUGUAGAAUGAGACUCUCUCUUUGUCCUCGUCCGAUUAAUCCACUUCUUAAAAGAUCUCAAAAACUUCAAAUUUCAAUUGAAGAAUUUAAUUAUUCAAUUUAAUUAUUCAAUAUUCGACUGGAGUGGAUUCACAAUCAUUAAAAAAAUGAUAUGAGUUUUUUAAUUUCAUAAUAAUUUCUAAUGUCAUUUAAAAAAAUAUGGUUGCUCCUUAUUUACAUCUAUCAUGUGAACCGUAAAAAGAGCCAUCAAGGUUGGUUUCGAACCUUCGAGGCCCUUUUUACAGUUGACAUGAUGGCUCUUUAAAGGCUCAUUUAGUUUUACAAUUUUUGUUGAUAAACUAUGAAAUGUACUAUUUAAUUUUCUUAUAUAUUCAUUUCUGUAGAGAGACCAACCUGAAAACUUCCAGCCACUUCCCGAGCUGGAACCUCUUGUAACUCAGGCUACAGAGCGUCUGGACAAGGCAGUACAAGGGAUCGAAAACGCUUCAGUUGAAAAUAAUAAAUUUUGUGUAUCUGUCCAUUAUCGAGAAGUUGACGAGAGGGUAACUUCAUUUUUCUUGCUCCGUUUCUAUUUCAUAAACUUUGCCUAACAUUUUACGUGCCUUUGUUGUAUGUAGGACUGGAGACUAGUCGAAGACAUUGUGAACAAUGUCUUACUUGAUUUUCCGGAUCUCGAGCGGGCCUCCGGUGACAUGGUAAACAGUUACUCUCUGAUCCCAAUAUAUUCUCUGAUCAUGUCAACAACGUCUUGAUUGACACUGUUUUGAUCAACAAUAACGACAACAACAACAAAGUCUUUAGUCCCAAACAAGUUAGGGUAGCUAGAGGUGAAAUCCUUAAGAUCUCGCUGUUAGGAAAGCAACUUAUCUUUAUUGAAGGCCCAAGGGGCAUAUAUAUAUUACACAUGACUUUGUUAGGAAAGCAACUUGUCUAUAUUGAAGGCCCAAGGGGCAUAUAUAUAUAUAUUACACAUGACUUGAUGUGCAAGGAAAGUAAAGAUAGACUAAUAAGGACUCCUAGACUAAUACUAAUAGACUAAUAAGGACCCCCUCAAAUGCAAAGUGUAUGCAAUAGCAUUGCAUUUGAAGAAGUGUAAUACUAAAAAAAAAAUGAUAAUCCAAAUCCGCGUCUUGAGAGUGUCGUCGUAGCAUGAAGAGUCUUCCCCCCCUCAAAUGCAAAGUGUAUGCAAUAGCAUUGCAUUUGAAGAAGUGUAAUACUAAAAAAAAAAUGAUAAUCCAAAUCCGCGUCUUGAGAGUGUCGUCGUAGCAUGAAGAGUCUUCAAAACUUGUCGAGUCGCCGAAGGAGAGAACGAAGAGAUGGCACAUCAGAGGUAGACACUGCAUCACUUGAAGAUACAAGAUAAGUAUCAAGAGAAGAUGGGUUGUCAAAAGAAGAUGGCACAUCAAGAGAAUAAAGCAUUGUGCAGAAAAUCAUAGUCCACGACAACCGUCGGCGAAAGAAGCUCAGCGGAUAAGGCACGAUGGACGUAGAACGACAAUGCAAAAGAAGUCCAGAAAAUCUUAUAGAAAACAACAAGGGCAAAUAGGCCACAAAAGUUGCAUAGAAAGGAUCAGGACCGGAGAAAGGCUGACGGACUAAGGUAUGGUGGACUCGCAUGGCAUGAGAAAACACAAAAUAUCAACGGAUUUGGUGGACGCAGCGGAAAACAAAGAAAACUAGAAAACACACACUAGAUUAGGGAUGAUGGCAGCGGAAGAGAAAAAAAAAGAUCAUGGCGGCGAAGGCCAAUUCCAACCAGAGUGUGCGUAAGACGGUCCUGGCUGUGUAGAAGGUGGUUGCUCAGUGCGGGAAGUCUGAGUCAGAAUACCAGCAGUACCCGUCGAGGAAGAACCUGAAGUAGCGAGCAGACGCUUAAGUUGCAGAAUAUCCUGCUCAGUCAAAGCGAUGGCUGAAGCUGUCGAGGUAGAUGACGAAGUCUCUGUAGAUGAUGAUUGCGCCUGACGCAAGUGUUUCUUCUUCGUGUAGCAGUGGGACUUAAUAUGACCAUCAUUGUUGCAGUAGCCACAAUGUGAACGGGGGCGACCUGAGCCUCCAGAAGGAGUGGGCAAGAGCGGCGGAGCACUCGAGUGAGAAGGGGUCGGUGCAGCAGGGGGCGUAGAAGUAGCCCGAGCAGCGAGCACCGAGGGAACCUCCAGCAAACCAGCACCACGUAAGCGAGUCCCCUCAGCACGAAUCUCAGAAAGCGCCUCCAUGAGAGAAAUACAGCCACGAGCAAACAACUUGCACGCCGAGGCUCAAACUCCUUACGGAGCCGAGACAGGAACUCGUAGACACGAUGAAACUCCAAGUUGGUCUGGACAACCUGGCAACAGGGGCAAGUACAACAACCAGCAGUGCGGAGAGAAUCGAGCUGGCGCCAGAUAGCAGAACUCUGUGCAUAGAAGUCAUCAACAGUAGAGUCACCCUGCUGAAGAGCAUGCUCCUGACGAACCACGGAGAGGUAUAAGGCAUCACCAGAGGGCGCAUAGCGCUGACGAAGGCGAGUCCACAUCUCAAAGGCAGUAGGAAGGCCCAAAAACUCAGAGACAAACUGAGGCAGAACGCUAGCAGUGAGAACAGCUGCAGCACGAGCAUCAUCAUCAAGCCACUGGGUGUAAGCAGACAGAGCACCAUGAUACGUCUGAAGAGCCUCCUCAUAAGCCAAAGCCUUCUCAUCAUAAGCACGGAUAGCGACCUCAUCAGCAAGCUUAGUUGUAUCCUUUGCGGCCUGAGAAGCAUCCGCAGGAAGAGCCGGUGGGGUCGGCGGAGUGGGAGCCACGGGAGGAACUGGGCAUGGCGGACAGCAGACCUCGCCAGAAAGAAUACCCCAUAGACGGAUGCCACGCAUGUGAAUGCACAUGAACCCAAUGAACUCAGUGUAGUUACUACCAUCGAAGAUCACCGAACAACGAGGGACAGCAACAUAGCCGGAUGCAACAGACUUUUUUUUUUUGGAACUCAGUGGCGAGCCGCGUCCGCGUCUGACAGCAGGAUUGGAGACGACGUGGUAUGGUGAGAUGAGGCGUCAGAUCUGGCGGAGCCGUCUGAUGGAAACUGCCUCGAUCUGGAGAUGGGAAUCACGUCCGCUGGGAACAGCCUUGAUCUGCUGAUGGGAACACGUCCCUGCUGAUGGAACACGUCCCUGCUGGGAACAGCCUCGAUCUGUGGAGGGAACCACGUCCGCUGGGAACCGCUCGAUCGGGAGGCUCACGAGGCACGGGAGGAACCGCCUCGAUCGGACCGCUGCGAUCUGGCGAGCGACGGGAGGGACCACUCGAUCUGGCGAGCCACAGGAGGGAACCUCGAGGAGGACUCGAUCGAGACGAACGGGAGAUCGAGGACGAGAUUGGAUAGAAGCACGAGUUGCGCGUGCAUAAAAAAAAACCUAGGGCUCUAAUACCAUGUUAGGAAAGCAACUUGUCUAUAUUGAAGGCCCAAGGGGCAUAUAUAUAUUACACAUGACUUAAGGUGCAAGGAAAGUAAACAUAGACUAAUAAGGACUCCUAGACUAAUACUAAUAGACUAAUAAGGACCCCCUCAAAUGCAAAGUGUAUGCAAUAGCAUUGCAUUUGAAGAAGUGUAAUACUAAAAAAAAAAUGAUAAUCCAAAUCCGCGUCUUGAGAGUGUCGUCGUAGCAUGAAGAGUUCGCGACCAACUCAUGGUUCUGGCACAUGGGUGGCAAGUUUCCAAGCACUCGUCUCCAUGGCUAAUUCUUUGGUGAUACUCCAGUCGUUCAAAUCUCUAUUUACUGACUCCUCUCAUGUCAAGUUCGGUCUACACCGACCUCUUUUGACAUUAUCAGCACGCUUUAGCCGUCUGCUAUGCACUGGAGCUUCUGAAGGCCUGCGCUGAAUAUGCCCAAACCAUCAGACGAUGUUGGACAAGCUUCUCUUCAAUCGUGCUAUCCCAACUCUAUCUCGUAUAUCAUCAUUUCGGACUCGGCCCUUCCUUGUGUGUUCACACAUCCAUCUCAACAUGUGUAUCCCUGCCACACCUAAUUGUUGCACAUGUCGCCUUUUAGUUGGCCAACACUCAGCACCAUACAACAUUGCGGGUCGAACCGCCGUCUUAUAGAACUUGCUUUUUUAGCUUUUGAUGCACUCUAUUGUCCCAGAAAAUGCGAGAAGCUUGGCGUCACUUCAUCCAUCCGGCUUUGAUUCGAUGGUUCACAUCUUCAUCGAUAUCCCCACCCUUCUGCAACAUUGACCCCAAAUGUCGAAAGGUGUCCUUCUAAGGCACCAGCUGUCCAUCAAGGCUAACCUCCCCCUCCCCCUCGUGCAUAUAGUACUGAAAUUGCACCUCAUGUACUCGAUUUUAGUUUCACUAAGUCUAAAACCUUUCGAUUUCAUGGUUUGUGUCCAUAGCUCUAACUUCCUAUUGACCCUCGUCCGACAAUCAUCGACUAGCACCACAUCAUCCGCAAAGAGCAUACAUCAUGGGAUAUCUCCUUGUAUAUCUGUUGUGACCUCAUCCAUCACCAAAGCGAUAAGAUAAGGGCUCAAAGUUGACCCUUGGUCCACUCCUAUUUUAAUCGAGAAGUCAUCAAUGUCGCCAUUACUUGUUCGAACACUUGUCACAACAUCAUCGUACAUGUCCUUGAUGAGGGUAAUGUACUUUGCUAGGGACUUCCUAUUUCUCCAAGUCCCACCACUUGACAUUUCGCGGUAUCUUAACGUAGGCCUUCUUCAAGUCAAUGAACACCAUAUGUAGGUCCUUCUUUUACUCUUUGUAUCUCUCCAUAAGUUAUCGUACCAAGAAAAUGGCUUCCAUGGUCGACCUCCCAGGCAUGAAACCAAACUGAUUUUUGGUCACGCUCGUCAUACUUCUUAAGUGAUGCUCAAUGACUCUCUCUCAUAACUUCAUUGUAUGGCUCAUCAGCUUAAUUCCAUGGUAAUUAGUACAACUCUGAACACCCACCUUGUUCUUGAAGAUUGGUGCUAAUAUACUUCCUCUUCAUUCCUCUCGCAUCUUGUUUGCCCGAAAAAUGAGGUUGAAAAGCUUGGUUAGCAUACAAUCGUUAUGUCCCCGAGGCCUCUCCACGCCUCAAUGGGGAUACAAUCAGGGCCCAUUGCCUUGCCUCUUUUCAUCCUUUUAAAAGCCAACUUGACCUCAGACUCCUGGAUUCGCUGCGCAAGAUGCCAGCUAGUACCAUCAAAGGAAUCGUCUAGUUCAAUCGUAGAGCUCUCAUUCUCCCCAUUGAACAACUUGUCGAAAUACUCCCGCCAUCUAUGCUUAAUCUCCUCGUCCUUCACAAGGAGCUAGUCUGCUCCGUCCUUGAUACAUUUGACUUGGUCAACAUCCCUUGUCUUCCUCUCUCAGAUCUUGGCCAUCUUAUAGAUGUCCCUUUCGCCUUCUUUCGUGUCUAACCGCUGGUAGAGGUCCUCAUACGCUCGGCCCCUUGCUUUACUCACAGCUUGCUUUGCAGUCUUCUUUGCCAUCUCGUACUUCUCUAUGUUUGUCCGCACUCCUAUCCAGGUAUAGGCGCCUGAAACAAUCUUCCUUCUCCUUAAUAGUCUUUUGGACAUUAUCGUUCCACCACCAGGUAUCACUUCUACUUCCCUUGGACACUCCAUACUCCUUUGAGGCCACCUUACGAAUGCAAGUCGCCAUCUUCAUCCACAUAUUGUCUGCAUCACCUCCUUCCUCCCAAGGGCCCUCCUUAAUGAUCCUCUCCUUGAACGCCUAAGCUACCGCUCACCUGAGAUUCCACCACUUCGUUCUAGCUACUUUGGCGUGCUUGUCCCGCUGGACACGAAUCCGAAAGCGGAAGUCAGCAACCACAAGCUUAUGCUCAGGGACAACACUCUCUGCAGGUAUCACUUUAUAAUCAAGGCACACACACCUGUCUUCUCUUCUCGAGAGGAUGAAAUCAAUCUGGCUAGAGUGUUGACCACUACUAAAAGUAACUAGAUGUGAUUCUAUCUUCUUAAAGAGGGUGUUAGCUACGAUCAUGUCGUAGGCUAGAGCAAAGCUUAACACAUCUUCUCCUUCUUGAUUCCUGAUGCCAUAGACAUAGCCAAAGCCCCCAUGCACUCCUUCAAAACCGGUGUUAGAUGUGCCCACGUGGCCAUUGAGGUCUUCUCCCAUGAAGAGCCUCUCGCCAAUCGGUACACUCCUAACCAUGUCCUCCAGGCCUUCCCAGAACUCUCUUUGGUGUUCUCAUUGUGGCCUAAAUGCGGGGGAUACGAGUUGAUAACAAUGAGAAUUAAGUCCACAACUAUCAGCUUGACUAGGAGAAUCCAGUCCUCACGUCUCUUGACAUCUACCACUCCAUACUUGAGGGUCUUGUUGAUCAACAUGCCUACUCCAUUUUUGUUUGCAGCCGUCCCCGUGUACAACGGCUUGAAGCCGGUACCCUCCACCUCCUCGCCUUUUGUCCCCUCCAUUUGGUUUCUUGGAUGCAAAGGAUAUCAACACCUCUCCUCAUCGCUAUAUCAGCUAGCUCCCGAAGCUUACCUGUCAGGGACCCUACGUUCCAGCUAGCUAAGUGGCUUCUCCUUGGCUCGCUUCCUUACCCUUCGCACUCGUCGAGUAAAAUGCAAAGACCCUUGCUCAUUUUCCACUACACCCGUGCGUCGAUGUAGUGCACCACUAAGGAUGCGAUGAUCCGAUCCUUGCUCACUUGCCAUCAUAUCCAGAUCAAGAUACAGUGCGCCGCCAGGGGAUGACGGCCAGACCCUUGUCCAUUUGACACCACACCCGGGUUUCGAUGUGGCGCGUCGCUGAGAGGGUUAUGCCCCAAUGAAAAUCUUUUGGGUUUCAUCUCCAUAAGAGCGGCUAAGUUUUGACGUUGGCUCGUCAAGCCUAUCACAACCCUCCUCCUUUACCCGGGCUUGGGACCGGCUAUGUUGAGACAACAUAGUCAAUAUUGUCUUGAUCCCUCUAAUAUAUUCUCUGAUUCGGUCAUGUCAUGCGCUUAUUUCAACAUAAACUGAAUAUUAUUCAUUAUUGUAUAAUCUAUUAAUUUUGUAUGAAGAAAACAUGAUGCAUGACUGUCUGUAUAAUGAUGCCCACCAGUCAAACAUAGUAGGUGCUCCAGAUUUUACUCACUGAAUUGCAUCUUUUAAUUUGUGAUGAUAAACAAUUGGACCCUCAUUAGUAUUCGUAUGCUAUCUUUGCAGUUGGUACACCACUAAAGUGUUGUUGCUUUUGCCAUUUAAAUUUGACUACAUAGAACUAGGAUCCUACUGCAUGGAAUUUCUGGAUCAAAUCAAAACUACCUUUCUGCAAUUAACUUACUUUAUUUACAUGCUUUGAUGCUAGUUACCGGGAUUCCAUCACUCAUGUUUUCUUUCGCAUUAUGGAAUAAUAGCUACAUCAGAUCUUAUAUGUUGAAAUUUUACAGGUUUGGGAGGUUCGACCAAAGGCGAAAUUUAACAAAGGCGAUGCACUGGAUCAUUUAUACCGGUAUCUGCUUCAGCAUCUCCAGGUGGAAAGCUCGCAGGUUCUAGCAAUUCACAUCGGAGAUGAUACUACUGACGAGAACGCUUUCUCGGUAAGAUACUGAAAAGAUCAUCUAAAUUGCUCUCAUUUCUUAAAGUUCUGGUACUAAGAAUUUAUCCUACAAUCAGAUGCUCCGUGAGAAGGGGUAUGGAUUUGGGAUACGCGUCCAGACGGAGCCCAAGCUCACUGAAGCCACUUACUCACUUAAAGAUCCUUACGAGGUGAUGGGGUUUCUUAAGAAGCUAGUGAAAUGGAAAAAGCUUCUGUCAGGAAACAGGUCCAAAUGCAAUCGUAUAUGUUUCCACUAAAAUACUUCUGUACCAACCUCUGAUUCUUCACCACAGCAAACUGCAAGCUUCUGAUUCUCCUCCGGUGAUGUGCAUCUGUAACAGCACAUAUGUGUAAACUUCAUACAAUAAUAAUAAAUUAAGUCGUGAGAUAACAGAAUAACAUACCCAUACUUCAUUAAGCCCUGUGCAUCAGAGAGAAGAUAGCAGCCGCAUCGCCUGCCACCCGACGACGACGGCCCCGCCUCCCAACGCGUGCGCGCCGCACUUGGCCUCCUUCCGCGGUAUUGGUUCAUCGCGCGGCUUGGGUGGUGGGUGGGGUGCUGGUGGGGGCAUUUGACGGAUCCGACGCGGCGGAGAGGAUACGCUAUUCUAUGCUAUGGCGACGGGGACGGCAUGGGCAAAAUACAAAUCUGAUCCUUAGUCGCAAAAGAAUCACAAAUUGGGACUGCUCAGCUCACAUUG
rnacentral:lncRNA from 1 species